UUUUUUUUUUUUGUGGGCGAGCCACAACUAAGGUUGAUUGGAUAGCCAACCGUCGUCGAUGAACCCGAUGUCCACGAAUCUCUGCACAUCUGCAUUGUUCAUGUGCUUCUCCCAUGGCACUCUUCCGCUGGUGCCGGAACCCGGGCCACUGCAUCCGACCUCCGCAAACGUCACUUGUGACCUGCCAAAAAAAGGCACCGUGCGUAAGCAUACAAAAACAUCAGCCAAAACAGCACAGAGUAUGCGCACUGCGAAACCAGGAGCUGUAACUUACACAUCUUGGCUGGGGGUCCACUUGUCCCACCCCUGCGGGACGACGAUGCCGGCCAUGUUCACCUGGUAGAACACCACGGUGGCCUGCUCGUUCCACGCGCGGCCGAGGUACUGCUGCCCGGAGCCCGUGAUCGAACCGCCCUUGAACACGAACGCGGCGCUCUUGUCGGCGGCCCUGCCGUGCGCCGUCACCCACCCGGGCUGCUGGGACGACGCCGCCAUGUUCGACUGGAGAGUGCAGUCCUCGUAGAUGGACUUCCCGUAGCCGAAGAUGAAGUCCACGGCGCCCUCGACGAGGCAGUGGCGGAAGUAGUGCCGGCCGGCGAGGUCGGAGAGCGUGUCCUGGUACCCGUGGAAGGCGCAGUCGUAGAACGCGCCCUUGUCGCCGUCCAUGAGGAACGCAACCGCGGGCUUGUUGCCGGUGUACGUGUUCUGCGUUGCAUGAUGGCGCACGUUAAGAGAACAGUCUUGCUAAGUCUCAGUUGAUCGAGACCCAACGAAGUCUCAAUGGAUACUAUAUUCCUAAGUUUUUAUAUUGAGAUUUGUGCAAAAAAAGACAGUUUUUCUUUCUCUCUUGUAUGGUAUGUCACUUAACUGAGACUUGAUUAAAUCUUAGUCGACUGAGACCUAGCCACACCUUUAAUAUAGCAUCAUGGAGACAAAAAAUUCAUGUGUACUAAUACUAGUUGCAUUGCGUGUAAGGCUAAAGUAGCACCAUGUGCACUGCACGUGCUUAUUACCUUGAAGGCGAUGUUGCGGGCGACGAAGUUGUCGGAAUGGACUAUGAAGGUGGAGCUGUUGUACGUCGGCGAGAUUUCCGCGAGGUUGCCGCGCAGGCGGCCCGUGAUAGGGGUGAUGCCGGGCGCGUCGACGCCGUCAACGUGCGAGUCGAAGUUGAUGUCCGUUGACGAGGAGCCGUCACCUUCGAGCAAGAUGAAGCCCUUUUCACUUGGGAUUAUCACCUUCUCUCUGCAUGGACGCACAAACGUGGGUAGGUAUCAAAAAUCUAACGUGAGAUCCACUAGUGUUUCUUAACCGAAAUAUAACUGUUAGCACUGAAACCAACACAAAUAAACGCAUUAAAAUAAAGAAAAACACUUUUAGAUACAACGUUAAGCAGAGUACAAGCUAUAGGAAAAGGUAUAUAUAAGCACGUAUUUGGUCUAAUAUAGCAUAAGAUAUCAUGCAUUGGCAGUGCCCUAAGCGUUAAAGAUGUUGAAGCCUCGACUGAUAUACUACUUAACCCAUUCAUAUUUUGAGUCAAACUUGAUCAUUAUAUAAUUAAUAUGUAAUUUAUUUGCUACAUUGUAUUUGAAAGAGGACUCCCAUAAUAUAAUUUUUUAGAGCAAAUAGUUUUUAUUGUAUUAGUUAACUUUAUGGUCAAAAUUUAACAGUAAAUAUGAAGGGCCUAAUAAAUCUUGACGUAGGAAGUAAUUAAUUAGGCCAUGCAUUGAUAUACUAAUUAAUUAGGCCAUAGAAUUUACUUACUAAAAAGAGAUCUUCUAUUGAAUUCAUAUCUGCUCGGGUUUAUAUGGCCAAUUGGUUUUCUCUUAAGACAAAUAUCUUUAAUUUAACAAAAUAUAAAAACUAUAACUUUUUAAUCAAACUUAUAGAAACAAAUAUCGAUAACUAUAAAACAAAAUCAAUACCACAAGAUAUAUUAGUAAAUACAUGUUCAUGAAUUAUAUACUGAGUAUUGUAAGUGUUAUAUUUUGUUGUAUAAACUUGGUGAAAUUAAACAAGUGCUAUUUAAGAGAAGAAUUAUAAACCUUGUAAACAUGAACAAUGCUAGUAAAUACAUAUCUUGUGUGUCUCAACAAAACACAUAUCUUGUGGGAAAUCACGUGGUAUGUCAAAAAAAAAAUUGGCAUAGGAUUGAGAAAACUUGGUAUAUGUUUGGUUUUGGCAGGAAACACCACCUAUCAAAUAAACUAGAAUGAUCAUGGAGCAUUUGUCAUUGCCUGAAAUUUGGCAACCAACCAAAAAAAUUGUAUGAUGGGUAUUGUCUAUCCUCCAAACACUUCAUCACACAACGGCUUAAUCAUCAAGCAACCGAAAACAAAAUAAAAUGGGUUUUAAUUAAAUCGACUCUCCGUGCAUUGCUUAUUUUCUUCAUCUCUCUAGCCCACGCAAUAUUUCUUUUUCUUCCUCCCUCCACAUCCGCCCUCCAACCCAAGACUAAUAUAAGCUCAACAAACAAAAAACAAGACUAACAUCCUAACGCCUCUACUCGCGGCAGACUGCCUCAUCUCUCGCGUGCCAUCGCCGACGAUGCCAUAGCCGGUCGCGGCGCCCCCGUCUCGAACACGGGGCUGCGCUGCUUCUCAGCGUGAAUUGACUGACCAAAAUUGAUUUUCGGUUGCCUGUGAUUUAGCAAAUGCGCACAAAUAAACGACAUUAGUAUUAGCAGUGCUACACUAGUACUUGCACGAACCUGUAGCUCCCAUGCUUGACAUAGAUCUUGACCCACUGGCUGUUGCCGUCCGGCACGGCGUCCACCGCCGACUGCACCGUCGUGUAGUCCCCUCCUCCGAGCUGGUCCACGGUGAUGGUCCGGGCCACCUGCACCGAAGCGAGGCUCGACGCUGGCCACCGGAGCAGCAGGAGCACACCGACGACGACGACGAGGCAGAACGGCGCCCGCAUUUCUUGAAAUGCAGUGAUUCUGGUCGUGAUAAGGCGCCGAACUCUAGCAGUGCGGUGUGGCGAUGGAUCGAUCGACAGGCGCCGCGCGCGCUUCGAGCUCACAGAUAUGAAUGUAUGAUCAGCUGAUUGCCUGCGGGGUUUCUCAACAGGAUCGAUCGGUUUAUAUCUUGCAUAUAUGUGCAUGUUCAUAAAUUGGAUACAUAUAGAAGAUAUAUAUCGAAUUAAUGGAACAAAUAUUUCCAUUGUAAUGUAAUAUUUUAUUUCUUUGUCAAAUCUUUUUUAUUAUUUACUUAUUUAUUUGUCAAAUCUUUUAUUUAUUUAUUUGUCAAAUCUGAAGCGAUCAAUGAGUACGCUUCAAACGAUAAUCAGUCAUAGUGUCAUGGUCGGUAAUUUACCUUAAUUAAUUUCCUUUCAUUGGUUAGUCUCGUUCCCGUCCGACACGUGCAUUCCUUUCCAGGGCCACAGUGAGAUGUGCCACCCUUUCAGAAUUUUUGGAUUUUUUUUUUCGAAUAUACUGUUAAUGGGGUGUGUGGGUACACCUGGAAAGGUGUGGCAACUCCGGGGUGUACUACACCCGGAUAAACAGUAAAUUAAAAGAAACAUGCAAAAAUUCUGAGACUUUGUGGCAUAAAAACAUGAUAAAAUGUUUUAGGUUUUUGUAAAAUUUCGUCCACAAAUAACAUUUGAGAAGCUCUCAACAACAAAAUAAAACCAUUGCACAAAACUUUGAGGACUGAUUGUUUUAUUUUGUGUGAGUGGAUGUUAUUUGUCGAUGAAAUUUUGCUAUCAUGUUUCAUGCCACAAAAUUCCAGAAUUUUGGAUGUUUUUCCUAUUUUUUUCGUAUUUUCUGUUCAUGGGGUGUGUGGGUACUCUCCCUUCUCCUACAAGUCUACUCCAGUACUGGUCAUACUGACGAAGAAGACAUUACAAAACAGAGCAGUAACUGUCGCUUCGACAUAAUUUAAUUAACUUCCAACCGAUCCCACUAGCAUUGGAGUUGCCAGCCCAACAAGAACCAACAACUUCCAACUCAUGUGCAACUAGAAGAGCAUGCGAUUCCAAAACAAAACAAAACAAAACAAAAACAGUUCUUUUUAGAGAAAUUUCGCAUACCAUUAAACAAAUGUCAAAUUACAACACGAAAUCAUGAAAAUCACGAGAAAGAAAGAGAAAAGACGCAUGCCCAAGAACAUAUGCAAGAAAACUUCAUUGAACAAAAAACAGUUGUGUAAGCUUUCGACCACGAUUGACCCUGCAAAAAAUUAAGCCUCUAAAUUGACCGCAGAUACAAAGCUUCUCAACUCAUAUUUAUUAAAACAAAUCAGACAAGAUUGGGGUUCAAUUGAACAUAGGAUAUCACUUUACCUCUUUCUUCAUCGACGCAUUUUCAACAAGUUUAGGCUUAGAUUUCACCAGCUCCGGUCGGCAGCCUACCCCACCGCUCGGCAUGAGCGAUUAACUAUCUUACAAACUAAAGAAGCUGGCACCGUACCAUACCGCUCGGCAUGAGCGAUUGGCUAUCCUACAAACUGAAAAGGCGACAACCUACCUUACUUUGCCUGCAUGCAUCUGGCUUGUUUCCGUGCAUCACAAGUAGUGGGAAGGGCCAUAGCAACAUGGAAGGAGUGUCGCACCAGCAACUGCGCCUUAGAGAAAGGCAUAAGGUGACAGGACAAUUGACAUCGACUAGCUCUUUAUGAGUCACGCUACAUAUCGAAAGCAAAGGUGGGUCGGUUGUGAUCACGGGAGGAUUAUGUUGCAAUGUGGGAAGAAAAUUAAGGAAGUAGAUUUGUCUGUAGGUUUCCGUAGCUAGUCAAGCCCGUAGGUGUGGCAUUUCUGAGCUCUUUAUGGGCUAGAGGUGAGAGGGAGAACAAUAUAAAUGUGAUAUAGAACAAUCGAGAAAGAGAGAAAAUUGUAAAGUGGACCCACACACGUGCAAAAAAGGGGACACGAACGACAAAGCGUGAUUGAGACUCGCCUACAUCGAUCGACGGUUGUUUACUACUUAUUCAUUUUGUUCAUUUAAUUAAGCUUAUUAGCUAUAUUGGUUGGCAGACCUAUCGCCAAUCACGGUCAAGAUAAAUCCUUUAUAUCAUCAAAAGAUAAAAUAACCUAUUCAAAUCCAUUUUAUUCUCUCCAAAAAAAUAUUGAUUUAGUGCCAUCUUCCGGAAAUCAAUACUCUUACCUUUUGUUUUCUAGAACUAGGGUAAAAUAACUUUACCAAAAGAGGUACAAAAAUGUUGGGAGGAAUGUCCACCCAAAUGCACAAAGCGGAUAUUGUGGUAUGAGUAGUGAGCUCAUGUGCAACUAUGUUGGCUUUCCUCAUACAAUUAUCAAUAUUUUCUUUGAAAUUUCUUCCGUUCAUUAAACAAGGAGCAAGAAAAAAGUUCUAUAUUCAAUAAGAUUAAAUGAUGGUCUAGGAAAAUCUGAGUCAUGUUCUAUAGCCCAAGCGGCAAAGAUUCACUCCAUGGUGGAAAUUAUGUGCGCUACCCCACACACACACACACACACACACACAAAAACCCUUUUUCUAUUGUCAUCAAAACCAACACCUCCACUGGCUCUGGUGGUGGUAUCGGCAUUUCAUCCAGUCCACCGAGGCUAGUCAUAGUACCAUUGCAAUAGUGAAUGAUCGAAGAUGUCGACUAGAGAGGGGGCGAAUAAGCGACUACCACUACCACUACCACAGAUCGACAUAUUACUGACCCCUCAUCACUAACCUGUCACAAGCCAUGCGACAGUGAUAUGCAUUAACACUGACGGGCUCAGUGAUGAUGCUUUUGAGGCCUAGCUGGGUAGAUAUCAUUGACAUGCCAUUUUUUGGUCAGUCUGUGAUAACAUGUUCUUGCCAGUUCCAAAAUCUAAAAUUGAUCCAUUAACAGCAAUGUCUGGUUAUCAUAAGUACACCGUUUGUAAUACAAAUUAAACAUGGCAUACCAUAUUUAACGGCUCAUGCAGUGAAGAUCCUAGCAUCCCAUUAUAUUCAAUCAUUUUUCCUACCGCCCCCUCCAUCCUCCACUUUAAAGCCUAUGGUUGUUGCGUCGAGCCUGACGAUUAGUGUCAGCCGUCCCAUGAUGCCUCUCAUCGCUCCUCUACCUCCCACCAGACCCUCCAACCGCUCCAUCUACUCCCUCCUCUCCAUCCUGAUGGGUCGGCGCUAGAUCGUCUUCACACCUAUGCUAUAUUCCUAACUCUACGACACCCUCCCGCCGCGUGUGACAUCGUCGAUGAUGCCACGGUCGGCCAACCCUCACAACCCCACCUACCCAUGGUGGUCGUGGUGGUCGUGGUCUUGUACUGUUGGGCCGUCGACGUUGGUGUGCGGUAUCGUAGUUCUAGCAUUUCCACCAACAUCUUUGGUCAGGGCAGUGGCCACACUGGUGAGCUCCUUUCCCUCUUAUCGAUGAGAAAUAUAGUAGUCUUGUUCCAAACAUAAUCUAGUAUGUCCUAUGUGUUAGGAGUUUGCUAUAGUAUUAUGGUAUGAGAGUAGCAUAAAUAGUUUGUUAGGGAAGUUUGAAGUAGUCUGUUAGGAUCUACUCCCUCGGUCCUCAAAUAAGUGGAUGUUUAGCAUUUCAAAUUUGUCCACAGAAGAGUGUAUUUAUAUCUUCUCAAUGAACUUUAAAGUAGAAAAAAUGUUUCUUUCUCAUCACACAGAAAUCAAGACCAAUAGAAUUCAAUACAUGGUCCACUUAUUUGAGGACAAAGGGAGUAUGUUGUAGCGACAUAUACACAUAUACAGAUCUAUAGAAAGUUGUGAUCUAUUAUGAUUAGAAAGUAAGACAAUGCUAGUGUGCAAAGUAAAUAGUAAUGCAUGGAUAUGUUUCAUUCCCACAUUUCAUGUGUAUGCAUGUUAUUUCUCAUUUGCCAUUAACUUAGCAAAGCCUAUAUAUGUAUGAUAUUAUAUACAGAAAAUUAAUACAUUGUUUAUUUUAUAUGGACAACGGACAGACACAAAUAGUUGCAGUUGUGACCUUUUAGUGUACUGCAUAAUACACAUUUUCUGUAAGAGUGUUUUGUGCAGUGCACCUAAAAUGAUACAUUGGUGAUGUUACUCUAUUUUAGAUGCACUAGACAAAAUAAGGCAGUUUUAUGUAUCAUUUCGACCGCUAAUCUGAAAAAUCGAGGGGCAUUUCCAGUGUGUUGAAGGACUCAUAAAAAUGUCAGAUUAGCACCUGCGGUAUUGUUAAUUCUUCGACAAGACUCAUCUACUCGUAGAUCAAUACAUUAGCACUUACUUGAAUUUAUAGCCCUAAACAUUUGGGCAUGUAUGUGUGAAAUGAAAUUUAAUUUCGUUGUAUGUGCCUAUGUAUUGUGCAUGUGUAUAACUUUCUACCUUAGUGCAUCUUGGGGCUUCACCGCUAGCAGAUUGCUAAUCGUGGAGACCCAAUUUGCUUAAACCAAAUUCCAUUAUCAAGGAUCUUGGGGCUUUUAGAAUGUCAAAAUAAUGGAGGAGGGAGAGUGGACUAGUCUAGUCGCAGUUAGGAAGAAUGAUCCUUUACAAGGUACCUCCAAAAUCUGACCUUUAUGCCGCAUAAUGUACAGCCUAGAGGGUCCGAGCUGACCUAGAGUUUCAGGAGCAAGCUUCGGGCAAGGUUUUGAGCAAGUCUAGAGUGAUUCUGGACAGGUCCGGAGGCCCAUCCAGCAGUCUACCUGGAGGUGUCGGGCCGCACUACGUCCAAAUUCUAGGCGACAUCAAAUGUCUACUGACCUCGGCCGGAGGCUCCGGGCUAGGUUGGGGGGCAACUAGAGGCAGCACACAUAGAGUUUUAGAGGGGCUCUCUCAUGCUUUUGCAUAGGUUUUGGGGUGAUAUGUUUUGCAUAAGUAUUGUUGAUUCCCAAGAUCGUCCAAAGCAUCCCAUGUAUGUUUUUCUUCCAUUGCACUAAACCGUUGUGUAUACACCUAAGCACAUGGUUAGACUACUAACCAUCUUGUCAUUAACACAAAAACUCUCAAGGGGGGCAUAUAUGUCGUUACAGAUAGAAAGUCACUGGAGUGGGAGAAAGAGGCUCCAUGCAGUGUGCAGGUCAAAAAAUGUAUUGUGUUAUGAAGCGAAGCCAGGUCUAGAGCAUGGUGGUCGCCGAGGAAGAUGGUCAUGAAUGCACUACCGACAGUUGUGACAUGAGAUAACAAUCAUGCCAGCACGUCCUAAAGUUGAAGUAGAUGUUAUGUGUACUGUUUGGGGGCCAAGAAAGCACAUGCAGCAAAAGGGGAAGAAGCAUAGGACAAUUGUCAAAGAAACAAAGGUAAAGAAAGAUGUAGAAUAUUGUUGAAUGAAACCAUCAUGAGGUAAUGAGAAAGUAGAAGAUGUUGAACACUAUACCAAUGUGAUGGCAAUCAUGCUAGGAAGUCGUCAGAGUUGGACAAACAUAGCAUAGCAUGUUGGUCAUCAAGAGAAGAAGGUGCAUGAAGAUGACAGUAUUUCGCAUGACAAUAUCUAAAGCCACAUCCAUGCCUCACUUGACAAGUAUAUUUGUGUGAUGCGAGCUUCUUUAUCCCUUUUAUGACCAUUUUGUUGUUCCAUAGCGACGUGCGGGUAUCUUGCUAAUCACAAUAACCAAUAUGCACGGUCGCAAUGAAAAGUAUAAAACCAUGCAACGAUGGAAAACUUAAUGAGCUUAUGCAACAAAAAUCAUAGGUGAUACCAACAAGAUCGAGUGAAUUGCAGAAAACCACCACAUUGAAGACUAGGGUUGCAGAAAAGACUCUUCUACGUUUUUGUGCCAGAAAACACUGAUUUCACGCCUAAUCAUUUGCAGAAAACACCUAACCGUCUGUUCAGGCAGUUUAACAUCUAUUAUGACAGGUGGGGCCCUGUUUCGUCUACGUGGCGUCACGGCCGCGAGCUAACGCCGUCUAACGGCGUGGCGGCCGCUACUGCUCCGCCGUGUGGGUAAAAACUGGAUUGAUCCAGCUCUCUCCUCACACUCUCGUCUCUGCCUCGCCCUCUCCUCACUCUGUUCUUCCUCCCCAGUGCUGCCACACCGCCGACCGCCGUUCUGCUGCUCCCCGGUGCCAUGGUGUCGUGGAGCGACGAGACCAGUGAGGAUUCAGUCAUGAACAUCUCCUCCUCCUGCGAUGGCAUCAUCAAGGUCAAUUGGUUAGAUAGCUAGAGCUAGGGUUAGGGUUAGUGAAUUGGGGAUUUUGUCACUGAGCUCGAUCUGAACCUAGCCUUCUCUUUGCUUGCUCCCACAGCUUCCAGCUACGAUGCACGAUCUGAAUUUCAAUGGCACUGACGCAGAUGUGAAUUUCUUGUGUGAACACGGUGAGCCGGCCGAGCGCUUUGUAGCAUUUGAAGGGAUGCACACGGGCAGGAGGUUUCUUGGAUGUGCUAAGAAGGUAUGAUUCACAUCCUGUGUAAAGGAAGCUGUUUGCUUAAUGCUUUGUUUAUCAAGUUGUUAAGAUUUUUUUAGCUUAGUCUUUGUUUAGCUUGUUCUGACAUGCCUUGUCAUUUGUGGAUUGUACACAUUGUUUAUUUUGGUCAAUGCUUACUCCUUUGUUUAUCAAGUUGUUAAGCUUGGUUAAGUGCUUUGUCUUUGUUUAAUUUGCUUUAGCCACCGUGUUGGAGUGUGUUCUCAUUAGUGGAUGGUAGUCAUUGUUUAUUAUGGUCAGUGCUUAGUGACUUGUUUACCAGUGGGCAUUGUUAAUUUGUCUGCUGUAUGGUAAGGAACCUGUCAGUGCUUAGUGACUUGUUUAUUUGUCUGUUUAACAGUGCACAUAUUAGAUACCUGAACCUGUUGGUUUGAUGGUCUUAGACAAUUAUUUAUUCUUUAUUGUUUAUAAUACAGGAAGGCAUAAACUGUGGAGUAGUUCAAUGGAUUGAUUUUGAAUGGCCAGACUCAAUGGAGAAGGCAUUGGCCAAGCUAUGGGAUAUGUAUGAGGAGAUUAAGUUAGCUAGGACCAAUGACAAUCUAGAGAGUUCCUUUGCAAUUCACAACCUGACAGAAGAGAAGAAGAAACUACAGGAGAACUAUGACAGUUUGUAUGUGAUACGUCUCCGUCGUAUCUACUUUUCCAAACACUUUUUCCCUUGUUUUGGACUCUAACUUGCAUGAUUUGAAUGGAACUAACCCGGACUGACGUUGUUUUCAGCAGAAUUGCCAUGGUGUUAUUUAUGUGCAGAAACAAAAGUUCUCAGAAUGACCUGAAACUCCACGGAGAUUAUUUUUGGAAAUAAUAAAAAAUACUGGCGAAAGAAUCAAGGCCAGGGGGCCCACACCCUUACCACGAGGGUGGGGGCGCGCCUGCCCCCCUGGGUGCACCCCCUACCUCGUGGGCCCCCUGGAGCUCCACCGACCUCAACUCCAACUCUAUAUAUUCGUGUUCGCGGAGAAAAAAAUCAGAGAGAAAGAUUCAUCACGUUUUACGAUACAAAGCCGCCGCCAAGCCCUAAACUCUCUCGGGAGGGCUGAUCUGGAGUCCGUUUAGGGCUCCGGAGAGGGGAAUCCGUCGCCAUCGUCAUCAUCAACCAUCCUCCAUCACCAAUUUCAUGAUGCUCACCACCGUGUGUGAGUAAUUCCAUCGUAGGCUUGCUGGACGGUGAUGGGUUGGAUGAGAUUUAUCAUGUAAUCGAGUUAGUUUUGUUAGGGUUUGAUCCCUAGUAUCCACUAUGUUCUGAGAUUGAUGUUGCUAUGACUUUGCUAUGCUUAAUGCUUGUCACUAGGGCCCGAGUGCCAUGAUUUCAGAUCUGAACCUAUUAUGUUUUCAUGAAUAUCUGUGAGUUCUUGAUCCUAUCUUGCAAGUCUAUAGUCACCUACUAUGUGUUAUGAUCUGGCAACCCCGAAGUGACAAUAAUCGGGACCACUCCCGCUGAUGACCAUAGUUUGAGGAGUUCAUGUAUUCACUAUGUGUUAAUGCUUUGGUCCGGUACUCUAUUAAAAGGAGGCCUUAAUAUCCCUUAGUUUCCGCUGGGACCCCGCUGCCACGGGAGGGUAGUGAAGGAAAUAUGCCCUAGAGGCAAUAAUAAAGUUAUUAUUUAUUUCCUCAUAUCAUGGUAAAUAUUUAUUAUUCAUGCUAGAAUUGUAUUAACCGGAAACAUAAUACUUGUGUGAAUACAUAGACAAACAGAGUGUCACUAGUAUACCUCUACUUGACUAGCUCGUUGAUCAAAGAUGGUUAUGUUUCCUAGCCAUUGACAUGAGUUGUCAUUUGAUUAACGGGAUCACAUCAUUAGGAGAAUGAUGUGAUUGACUUGACCCAUUCUGUUAGCUUAGCACUCGAUCGUUUAGUAUUCUGCUAUUGCUUUCUUCAUUACUUAUACGUGUUCCUAUGACUAUGAGAUUAUGCAACUCUCGUUUACCAGAGGAACACUUUGUGUGCUACCAAACGUAACUCGGUGAUUAUAAAGGUGCUCUACAGGUGUCUCCAAAGGUACUUGUUGGGUUGGCAUAUUUUGAGAUUAGGAUUUGUCACUCCAAUUGUCGGAGAGGUAUCUCUGGGCCCACUCGGUAAUGCACAUCACUAUAAGCCUUCCAAGCAUUCCAACUAAUGAGUUAGUUGCGGGAUGAUGUAUUAUGGAACGAGUAAAGAGACUUGCCGGUAACGAGAUUGAACUAGGUAUUGAGAUACCGACGAUCGAAUCUUGGGCAAGUAACAUACCGAUGACAAAGGGAACAACGUAUGUUGUUAUGCGGUUUGACCGAUAAAGAUCUUCGUAGAAUAUGUGGGAGCCAAUAUGAGCAUCCAGGUUCCGCUAUUGGUUAUUGACCGGAGAUGUGUCUCGGUCAUGUCUACAUAGUUCUCGAACCCGUAGGGUCCGCAUGCUUAAAGUUCGAUGACGGUUAUAUUAUGAGUUUAUGAGUUUUGAUGUACCGAAGGUUGUUCAGAGUCCCGGAUGUGAUCACGGGCAUGAUGAGAAGUCUCGAAAUGGUCGAGACGUAAAGAUCGAUAUAUUGGACGACUAUGUUUGGACACCGGAAAGGUUCCGGAAGGUUUCGGACAUUUAUCAGAGUACCAGGGGUUACCGGAACACUCCCCCCCCCAGGAACUAAUGGGCCUUGUUGGGCCCUAGUGGAGAGAGAGAGGGGCCGGCCAGGGCAAGAGGCGCGCCCCCUCCCCUUGAGCCCGAAUAGGACAAGAAAGGGGGCGCUGCGCCCCCCUUGCCUUUCCCCUCUCCCACUCCUUCCUUCCCCCUCCUUCUUGGACUAGGAAAGGGAGGGGCAAACCUACUUGGAGUAGGUUUCCCCCUCGUAGGGCGUGCCACCCCCUUGGCCGACCCUCUCCUCCUCCCCCCCUUUAUAUACGGAGGAGGGGGGCACCCCAUAGACACAACAAUUGAUCUCUUGAUCUCUUAGCCGUGUGCGGUGCCCCCCUCCACCAUAAUCCACCUCGAUAAUAUCGUAGCGGUGCUUAGGCGAAGCCCUGCAUUGGUAGAACAUCAUCAUCGUCACCACGCCAUCGUGCUGACGGAACUAUCCCUCAAAGCUCGGCUGGAUCGGAGUUCGAGGGACGUCAUCGAGCUGAACGUGUGCUGAACUCGGAGGUGCCGUGCGUUCAGUACUUGAUCGGUCGGAUCGUGAAGACGUACGACUACAUCAACCGCGUUGUGCUAACGCUUCCGCUUUCGGUCUACGAGGGUACGUGGACAACACUCUCCCCUCUCGUUUCUAUGCAUCACCAUGAUCUUGCGUGUGCGUAGGAAUUUUUUUGAAAUUACUACGUUUCCCAACAGUGGCAUCCGAGCCUGGUUUUAUGCGUUGAUGUAAUAUGCACGAGUAGAACACAAGUGAAUUAUGGGCGAUAUAAGUCAUACUGCUUACCAGCAUGUCACGCUUUGGUUCGGCGGUAUAGUUGGAUGAAGCAGCCCGGACUGACAUUACGCAUACGCUUACGCGAUACUGGUUUUACCGCCGUGCUAUGCACACAGGUGACUAGCGGGUGUCAGUUUCUCCAACUUUAGUUGAACUGAGUGUGGCUAUGCCCGGUCCUUGCAAAGUUUAAAACAGCACCAACUUGACAAACUAUCAUUGUGAUUUUGAUGCGUAGAUAAGAACGGUUCUUGCUCAGCCCGUAGCAGCCACGUAAAACUUGCAACAACAAAGUACAGGACGUCUAACUUGUUUUUGCAGGGCAUGUUGUGAUGUGAUAUGGUCAACGCAUGAUACUAUAUUUUAUUGUAUGAGAUGAUCAUGUUUUGUAGCCGAGUUAUCGGCAACUGGCAGGAGCCAUAUGGUUGUUGCUUUAUUGUAUGCAAUGCAAUCGCCCUGUAAUUGCUUUACUUUAUCACUAAGCGGUAGCGAUAGUCGUAGAAGCAAUAGUUGGCGAGACGACAACGAUGCUACGAUGGAGAUCAAGGUGUCGCGCCGGUGACGAUGGUGAUCAUGACGGUGCUUCAGAGAUGGAGAUCACAAGCACAAGAUGGAACUGAGUGCUUCUACAGCAAACGAAAUGGUCACUGGAAGCGGAAUGCCCUGAAUAUUUGGUGGAUAAGAAGGAUGGCAAAGUGAACAAGGGUAUAUUUGAUAUACAGGUUAUUGAUGUGUACCUUACUAGUGUUUAUAGUAGCCCCUGGGUAUUUGAUACUUGUUCGGUUGCUAAAAAUUAGUAACUCGAAACAGGAGUUACAGAAUAAACAGAGACUAGUUGAGGGUGAACUGACGAUGUGUGUUGGAAGUGGUUCCAAGAUUGAUAUGAUCAUCAUCGCACAAUCCCUAUACUUUCGGGAUUAGUGUUAAACCUAAAUAAAUGUUAUUUGUCAUUUGCGUUGAGCAUGAAUAUGAUUUGAUCAUGUUUAUUGCAAAACGGUUAUUCAUUUAAAGUCAGAGAAUAAUUGUUGUUCUGUUUACAUGAAUAAAACCUUCGAUGGUCAUACACCCAAUGAAAAUGGUUUGUUGGAUCUCGAUCGUAGUGAUACAUAUAUUCAUAAUAUUGAUGCCAAAAGAUGCAAAAUUGAUAAUGAUAGUGCAACUUAUUUGUGGCACUGCCGUUUGGGUCAUAUCGGUGUAAAGCGCAUGAAGAAACUCCAUAAAGAUGGACUUUCGGAAUCACUUGAUUAUGAAUCAUUUGAUACUUGCGAACCAUGCCUUAUGGGCAAGAUGACUAAGACUCCGUUCUUGGGAACAAUGGAGCGAGCAACUGACUUAUUGGAAAUAAUACAUACUGAUGUAUGCGAUCCGAUGAGUGUUGAGGCUCACGGCGGGUAUCGUUAUUUUCUGACCUUCACAGAUGAUUUGAGUAGAUAUGGGUAUAUCUACUUGAUGAAACAUAAGUCUGAAACAUUUGAAAAGUUCAAAGAGUUUCAGAGUGAAGUGGAAAAUCAUCGUGACAAGAAAAUAAAGUUUCUACGAUCUGAUCGCGGAGACGAAUAUUUGAGUUACGAGUUUGGUCUUCAAUUAAAACAAUGUGGAAUAGUUUCACAAAUUCGUGCCACCUGGAACACCACAGCAUAAUGGUGUGUCCGAAUGUCAUAACCGUACUUUAUUGGAUAUAGUGCAAUCUAUGAUGUUUCUUACCGAUUUACCACUAUAGUUUUGGGGUUAUGCAUUAGAGACAGCUGCAUUCACGUUAAAAAGGGCACCAUCUAAAUCCGUUGAGACGACACCGUAUGAACUGUGGUUUGGCAAGAAACCAAAGUUGUCAUUUCUUAAAGUUUGGGGUUGCGAUGCUUAUAAGAAAAAGUUUCAUCCUGAUAAGCUCAAACCCAAAUCGGAGAAAUGUGUCUUCAUAGGAUACCCAAAGGAGACAGUUGGGUACACCUUCUAUCACAGAUCCGAAGGCAAGAUAUUCGUUGCUAAGAAUGGAUCCUUUGUAGAGAAGGAGUUUCUCUCGAAAGAAGUGAGUGGGAGGAAAGUAGAACUUGAUGAGGUAACUGUACCUGCUCCCUUAUUGGAAAGUAGUUCAUCACAGAAAUCUAUUCCUGUGACUCCUACACCAAUUAGUGAGGAAGUUAAUGAUGAUGAUCAUGUAACUUCGGACCAAGUUAUUACCGAACCUCGUAGGUCAACCAGAGUACGUUCCGCACCAGAAUGGUACGGUAAUCCUAUUCUGGAGUUCAUGUUACUUGACCAUGACGAACCUACGAACUAUGAGGAAGCGAUGAUGAGCCCAGAUUCCGCGAAAUGGUUUUAGGCCAUGAAAUCUGAGAUGGGAUCCAUGUAUGAGAACAAAGUAUGGACUUUGAUUGACUUGCCUGUUGAUCGGUGAGCCAUUGAGAAUAAAUGGAUCUUCAAGAGGAAGACAAACGCUGAUAGUAGUGUUACUAUCUUCAAAGCUCGAAUUGUCGCAAAAGGUUUUCGACAAGUUCAAGGUGUUGACUACAAUGAGUUUUUUCUCACUCGUAGCGAUGCUUAAGUCUGUCCGAAUAAUGUUAGCAAAUUGCCAGAUUUUAUGAAAUCUGGCAAAUGGAUGUCAAAACUAUGUUCCUUAAUGGAUUUCUUAAAGAAGAGUUGUAUAUGAUGCAACCAGAAGGUUUUGUCGAUCCUAAAGGUGUUAACAAAAUGUGCAAGCUCCAGCGAUCCAUCUAUGGACUGGUGCAAGCAUCUCGGAGUUGGAAUAUACGCUUUGAUGAGUUGAUCAAAGCAUAUAGUUUUAUACAGACUUGCGGUGAAGCCUGUAUUUACAAGAAAGUGAGUGGGAGCACUACAGCAUUUCUGAUAAAUAUAUGUGAAUGACAUAUUGUUGAUCGGAAAUAAUGUAGAAUUUUCUGGAAAGCAUAAAGGAGUUUUUGAAAGGAGUUUUUUAAAGAAAGACCUCGGUGAAGCUGCUUACAUAUUGAGCAUAAAGAUCUAUGGAGAUAGAUCAAGAUGCUUGAUAAGUUUUUUCAAUGAGUACAUACCUUGACAAGAUUUUGAAGUAGUUCAAAAAGGAACAGUCAAAGAAAGAGUUCUUUCCUGUGUUACAAGGUGUGAAAUUGAGUAAGACUCAAAGCCCGACCACGGCAGAAGAUAGAAAGAGAAUGAAAGUCAUUCCCUAUACCUCAGCCAUAGGUUCUAUAAAGUAUGCCAUGUUGUGUACUAGAUCUAUUGUAUACCCUACCACUGAGUUUGGCAAGGGAGUACAAUAGUGAUCUAGGAGUAGAUCACUGGACAAUGGUCAAAAUUAUCCUUAAUGGAAUAAGGAUAUGUUUCUUGAUUAUGGAGGUGACAAAAGGUUCGUCGUAAAGGGUUACGUCGAUGCAAGUUUUUGACACUGAUCCAGAUGACUCUAAGUCUCAAUCUGGAUACGUAUUGAAAGUGGGAGCUAUUAGCUAGAGUAGCUCCGCGCAGAGCAUUGUAGACAUAGAAAUGUGCAAAAUACUUGCGGAUGUGAAUUUUGGCAGACCCGUUGACUAAACUUCUCUCACAAGCAAAACAUGAUCACACCUUAGUACUCUUUGGGUGUUAAUCACAUAGAGAUGUGAACUAGAUUACUGAAUCUAGUAAACCCUUUGAGUGUUGGUCACAUGGCGAAGUGAACUGUGGGUGUUGAUCACAUAGUGAUGUGAACUAUUGGUGUUAAAUCACAUGGCGCUGUGAAGUAGGUUAUUGACUCUAGUGCAAGUGGGAGACUCGAGGAAAUAUGCCCUAGAGGAAAUAAUUAAGUUAUUAUUUAUUUCUUCAUAUCAUGAUAAAUGUUUAUUAUUCAUGCUAGAAUUGUAUUAACCGGAAACAUAAUACUUGUGUGAAUACAUAGACAAACAGAGUGUCACUAGUAUGCCUCUACUUGACUAGCUCGUUGAUCAAAGAUGGUUAUGUUUCCUACCCAUUGACAUAAUUUGUCAUUUGAUUAACGGGAUCACAUCAUUAGGAGAAUGAUGUGAUUGACUUGACCCAUUCCGUUAGCUUAGCGCUCGACCGUUUAGUAUUCUGCUAUUGCUUUCUUCAUGACUUAUACAUGUUCCUAUGACUACGAUAUUAUGCAACUCCCGUUUACCAGAGGAACACUUUGUGUGCUACCAAACGUCACAACAUAACUGGGUGAUUAUAAAGAUGCUCUACAGGUGUCUCCAAAGGUACUUGUUGGGUUGGCGUAUUUCGAGAUUAGGAUUUGUCACUCCGAUUGUCAGAGAGGUAUCUCUAGGCCCACUCGGUAAUGCACAUCACUAUAAGCCUUGCAAACAUUGCAACUAAUGAGUUAGUUGCGGGAUGAUGUAUUAGGGAACGAGUAAAGAGACUUGCCGGUAACGAGAUUGAACUAGGUAUUGAGAUACCGACGAUCGAAUCUCGGGCAAGUAACAUACCGAUGACAAAUGGAACAACGUAUGUUGUUAUGCGUUUUGACCGAUAAAGAUCUUCGUAGAAUAUGUGGGAGCCAAUAUGAGCAUCCAGGUUCCGCUAUUGAUUAUUAACCGGAGACGUGUCUCGGUCAUGUCUACAUAGUUCUCGAACCCGUAGGGUCCGCACGCUUAAAGUUCGAUGACGGUUAUAUUAUGAGUUUAUGAGUUUUGAUGUACCGAAGGUUGUUCGGAGUCCCGGAUGUGAUCACGGGCAUGACGAGAAGUCUCGAAAUGGUCGAGACGUAAAUAUCGAUAUAUUGGACCACUAUGUUUGGACACUGGAAAGGUUCCGGAAGGUUUCAGACAUUUAUCGGAGUACCGGGGGUUACCGGACCCCCCCCCCCCCGGAACUAAUGGGCCUUGUUGGGCCCUAGUGGAGAGAGAGAGGGGCCGGCCAGGGCAAGAGGCGCGCCCCCUCCCCUUGAGUCCGAAUAGGACAAGGAAGGGGGGCGGCGCCCCCCUUGCCUUUCCCCUCUCCCACUCCUUCCUUCCCCCUCCUUCUUGGACUAGNNNNNNNNNNNNNNNNNNNNNNNNNNNNNNNNNNNNNNNNNNNNNNNNNNNNNNNNNNNNNNNNNNNNNNNNNNNNNNNNNNNNNNNNNNNNNNNNNNNNNNNNNNNNNNNNNNNNNNNNNNNNNNNNNNNNNNNNNNNNNNNNNNNNNNNNNNNNNNNNNNNNNNNNNNNNNNNNNNNNNNNNNNNNNNNNNNNNNNNNNNNNNNNNNNNNNNNNNNNNNNNNNNNNNNNNNNNNNNNNNNNNNNNNNNNNNNNNNNNNNNNNNNNNNNNNNNNNNNNNNNNNNNNNNNNNNNNNNNNNNNNNNNNNNNNNNNNNNNNNNNNNNNNNNNNNNNNNNNNNNNNNNNNNNNNNNNNNNNNNNNNNNNNNNNNNNNNNNNNNAACAAUUGAUCUCUUGAUCUCUUAGCCGUGUGCGCUGCCCCCCUCCACCAUAAUGCACCUCGAUAAUAUCGUAGCGGUGCUUAGGCGAAGCCCUGCGUUGGUAGAACAUCAUCAUCGUCACCACACCGUCGUGUUGAUGGAACUAUCCCUCAAAGCUCGGCUGGAUCGGAGUUCGAGGGAUGUCAUCUAGCUAAACGUGUGCUGAACUCGGAGGUGCCGUGCAUUCGGUACUUGAUCGGUCGGAUCGUGAAGACGUACGACUACAUCAACCGCGUUGUGCUAACGCUUCCGCUUUCGAUCUACGAGGGUACGUGGACAACACUCUCCCCUCUCGUUGCUAUGCAUCACCAUGAUCUUGCGUGUGCGUAGGAAAUUCUUUGAAAUUACUACGUUUCCCAACAGGUAGGACAAAAGAUGUCAUGCAAGUUCUUUUCCAUGAGCACGUAUGACUAUAUUCGGAAUACAUGCCUACAUUAGAUUGAUGAAUUGGAGCUAGUUCUGUGUCACCCUAUGUUAUGACUGUUACAUGAUGAACCGCAUCCGGCAUAAUUCUCCAUCACCGAUCCAAUGCCUACGAGCUUUUCACAUAUUGUUCUUUGCUUAUUUACUUUUCCGUUGCUACUGUUACAAUCCCUACAAAACCCAAAAAUAUUACUUUUCUACCGUUACCGUUACUUCCAUACUACUUUGCUACUAAAUACUUUGCUGUAGAUACUAAGUUAUCCAGGUGUGGUUGAAUUGACAACUCAACUGCUAAUACUUGAGAAUAUUCUUUGGCUCCCCUUGUGUCGAAUCAAUAAAUUUGGGUUGAAUACUCUACCCUCGAAAACUGGUGUGAUCCCCUAUACUUGUGGGUUACCAAGACUAUUUUCUGGCGCCAUUGCCGGGGAGCAUAGCUCUAUUCUUUGAGUCACUUGGGAUUUAUAUCUGCUGGUCACUAUGAAGAACUUGAAAGACACGAAAACAAAAAUUUAUCCCUCAACUACGAGGGGAGGUAAGGAAUUGCCAUCUAGCUCUGCACUUGAUUCACCUUCUGUUUUGAGUAAGCUUGCGACACCUAAACCUGCUUCUUCUAUUAAUUCUGAUAUGUCGCACGUUAUUGAUGAUGCCACUUCUACUAUGCAUGAUACUUAUGAUGAAACUACUUCUAUGCUUGAUACUACUGUGCCACUUGGUGAAUUUCUUGAUGAACAACUUGCUAGGGCUAGAGAGAAUGAAAUUAUUGAAACUGAUAAUAUUGAUGAAAGUGAUGAUGAAGACUCUCCCAAUAAAUAUGAAUUACCUGUUGUGCCUGAGGGCUAUGUUAUGGAUGAAGAAACUGCUAGAGACUUUCUUGCUUACAAUGAUAGAAGUGAUCUUAAGAAAUUAUUAGCUAAGCUUAAACAAAAAACUUUGAAUGCUAGAAUGAAAUAUGAUCCUGCUUAUGCUACUUCACCUAUCUUUGUUACCGAUAAGGAUUAUGAAUUCUCUAUUGAUCCUGAUAUAAUUACUUUGGUUGAAUCUGAUCCUUUCUAUGGCUAUGAAUCUGAAACUGUUGUGGCACAUCUUACUAAAUUAAAUGAUAUAGCCACCCUGUUCACUAACAAUGAGAAAACUCGCUACUAUUAUAUCCUUAAAAUAUUUCCGUUCUCAUUAAAGGGUGAUGCUAAGAUAUGGUUUAAUUCUCUUGAUCCUGGUUGUGUGCGUAGUCCCCAGGAUAUGAUUUAUUACUUCUCUGCUAAAUAUUUCCCUGCUCAUAAGAAACAAGUUGCUUUAAGGGAUAUAUACAAUUUUGUACAAAUUGAAGAAGAGAGUCUCCCACAAGCUUGGGGGAGGCUUCUCCAAUUACUUAAUGCUUUGCCUGAUCAUCCUCUCAAGAAAAAUGAAAUACUUGAUAUCUUUUAUAAUGGACUAUCCGAUGCUUCCAGAGACCACCUGGAUAGUUGCGCUGGUUCUGUUUUCAGGGAAAGAACACCAGAUGAAGCUGAAAUUCUAUUGAAUAAGAUCUUGACUAAUGAAAAUAAUUGGACACUUCCUGAGCCAACUCCUAAGCCUAUUCCUAAACCAACUCCAAAGAAAAGGGGUGUUCUAUUUCUUAGUCAUGAAGAUAUGCAAGAGGCAAACAAAUCUAUGAAGGAAAAGGGUAUUAAGGCUGAAGAUGUUAAGAAUUUACCUCCUAUUGAAGAAAUACAUGGUCUUAAUUUACCGCAUGUUGAAGAAAUAUAUGAUCUUAAUUCAUCACCUAUUGAAGAAACUCAUGGUCUUGAUAACCCGACACAGGUACUAAAGGUAAAUUCUCUCUAUAGAUUUGAUGAAGGUGAUAUUCUUCACUAUAAGUCUGCUAGACAAUGCUUAGAUGAGUUUGACAAUUUUAUUGUCAAACAAGAAAAUUUCAAUGCUUAUGUUGGUAGACAAUUAAAACAAAAUGCUUAUAUGAUUGAACACUUGAGUGAUUAUAUGUCUAGAGUUAAAGGUGAACUUAAACUCAUUAGUAAACAUGCUUCUAUGGUUACCACUCAAGUAGAACAAGUACUUAAGGCUCAAAAUGAUUUGCUCAAUGAAUUGAAUAGUAAGAAUAAUGAUUUUGUUGUUAGAGUGGCUACUAGAACUAGUAGAAUGACUCAGGAACCUUUGUAUCCUGAAGGCCAUCCUAAGAGAAUUGAGCAAGAUUCUCAGAGAAAUAAUAUAGAUGCACCUAGUCCCUCUAAAAAGAAGAAAAAGAAAAAUGAUAGGACUUUGCAUGCUUCUAGUGAACCUAUUGCUGAACCACCUGAGAAUCCUAAUGAUAUUUCUAUUUCUGAUGCUGAAACACAAUCUGGUAAUGAACAUGAACCUAGUGAUAAUGUUAAUGAUGAUGUUCAUGUCGAUGCUCAACCUAGUAAUGAUAAUGAUGUAGAAAUUGAACCUGUUGUUGAUCUUGAUAACCCACAAUCAAAGAAUCAACGUUAUGAUAAGAGAGACUUUGCUGCUAGGAAGCAUGGUAAAGAAAGAGAACCAUGGGUUCAGAAACCCAUGCCUUUUCCUCCCAAACCAUCCAAGAAAAAGGAUGAUGAGGAUUUUGAGCGCUUUGCUGGAAUGAUUAGACCUAUCUUUCUGCGUAUGCGUUUGACUGAUAUGCUUAAAAUGAAUCCUUAUGCUAAGUAUAUGAAAGAAAUUGUUACUAAUAAAAGAAAGAUACCGGAAGCUGAAAUUUCCACCAUGCUUGCUAAUUAUACUUUUAAGGGUGGAAUACCAAAGAAACUUGGAGAUCCAGGAGUACCCACUAUACCAUGCUCCAUUAAAAGAAAUUAUGUUAGAACUGCUUUAUGUGAUCUUGGAGCCGGUGUUAGUGUUAUGUCUCUCUCUUUAUAUCGUAGACUUGAUUUGAAUAAGUUGACACCUACUGAAAUAUCUUUGCAAAUGGCUGAUAAAUCAACUGCUAUACCUGUCGGUAUUUGUGAGGAUGUGCCUGUUGUGGUUGCAAACGUUACUAUUUUAACGGACUUUGUUAUUCUUGAUAUUCCCGAGGACGAUAGUAUGUCCAUUAUUCUUGGAAGACCUUUUUUGAAUACUGCAGGGGCUGUUAUUGAUUGCAACAAAGGCAAUGUCACUUUUCAUGUUAAUGGUAAUGAGCAUAUGGUGCACUUUCCGAGGAAACAACCUCAAGUCCACAGUAUCAAUUCUAUUGGAAAAAUUCCAUCGAUUAUUUUUGGAGGUUUUGAAUUUCCUCUUCCUACUGUCAAGAAGAAAUAUGAUAUUCUUAUUAUUGGGGAUAUGCAUAUCCCCGUUGAGGUAACAUAGUGUUAUUCGAAAUUUCUCCGGUUUCAUGUUACUCGAAAUGAGUUUGUUAACAAGACUUGAUAAACCUUGUUAGUGGAUUCCUUUUGAUGAGCAUGAGAUGGAUGAAGUUAGAAAGCACAACCUUCUAUACCCUCCUUUUACUUUCUGUUAUUUAGUUGAAAUAAAGUAAAAUUAGUAUUUUCUGUCUGUUUUCUGAAUUAUCCGUGCAAUAUAAAAAUACCCCAAAAUUAAAAGUUCUCCAAAUGCCCCGAAAUUGAAAUAUGAUUUUUUUCUAGAAUAUUUGAGAAUAUCGGGCACUGAGAACACAGCAGGGGGAGCUAGCACAUGGGCACGAGGGUCCAGGGCGUGCCCCUUGCCUCGUGGGCCCAUGGUGGCUCCCCUCCACUUAUUCCUGCACCCACACACUUCUUCUUCCUCCCAAAAAAAUCACCAACCAGCUCAACCACGAGCUCUAGCUCAUUUUGCUGCAAUUUUUGAUCUCCUUGCUCAAAGCACCUCUCACAAAACUGCUUUGGGGGAUUGUUCCUUGGUAUGUGACUCCUCCGUUGGUCCAAUCAGUUUUUGUUCUAGUGCUUUAUUCAUUGCAAAUUUGUGCUGCCUAAGUGACCAUGUUCUUGAGCUUGCAUGUCAAAUUUAUUUGGUUACAAGUAGUUCUAAUGCAUGAUAUAGGCUCUAGGCACUUGUAGGAGUAGUUGCUAUCAAUUUUGUUGAGCUUGGUUCAAUUUUAUUUGAAGUUACUAAAAUUUUCAGAAAAUUUUCAGAGGAAGAAAUAUGUUUAGGAAAAUGUACCAAGGUGGUUCUUCAAGGAAGCAAGGACCCAAGCUUGCAAUGCGCGAUGCUGAUGAUGAACCACCAAGAGACGCUCCAGUGCGGGCUUGUGAAUGGCCUUCAGAGGACUUCAUGGAUCAAGCAGGAAUCAAGGAAGAAUUUAACGCAUAUUUGCGUAACGCUGAUCUUGUGAGCUUCGAGGCAGAUAAGUGCCGCCAGUACCACUAUCUCACUAGUUCCUUUGUGAGGAGGUUUGAAUUUUCAUCUUCACACAAUUCUCAAACUGUCCUGUUUGAUCUUUAUGAAAAUUCUUAUACUAUGGACUUAGAGGAUUUUACCACUGCUUGCAAACUUCCACAAUGGGGUAGUCCUAGUGAACCUCACAAAUCUGAAUUUAGCGAUUUUCUUGCUAGUAUAACUGUGGGUGAAUCUAGAGACAUAGCACAAGCUACCAUAGGGAGCAUUCACUUUCCUGCUAUACAUUAUUUUUAUCUCUUCAUAGGUAGGUGCAUAAAUGUUAAGGAUGAAGCAUGUCACAUGUGUGUCCCUGACCUCAGUGUUCUUAGGAGUGUGGUGUUAGGAGAUAAGCAUUAUAAUUUGGGAGCCAUUGUUGCACGUAGGUUGCAUCAUAAUAGAUUUAAUGGAGAUUUCUUUGGUGGAAUUUAUGCAACCCGUAUAGCUAAUUUUCUUGGUGUAACCAUACGUGAGGAUGAUAUUGAGUUGCCUCCUGCUUAUUUGGAUUAUGAGGCUAUGGUUCGUCAUCAUUUUGUUGAGAGGAACGAUCAGUUCCUCCAGUACCAACUAAUCUUUGACAGACGACGCACCUAUCACGUCGCUCUCCCUACUUCUACUUUCUUUGACUUUCAGGCAAAAGGGAGAUAUUUUAUAACCAGAGAGGAGGCGGAAGAGUAUAAGAGGAGGGCUGAGAUAGCUCGCCUCCAAGCUGCAGCCCACGAUGCAAUGACUGCUGCAUCUCAGUACGACCCCAACUACAACUUUGGAUAUCCGCCAGGCCAUCCGUGGCAAUAAACCAACUUAGGCCAAAAGCCUAAGCUUGGGGGAGUAUGUAUUUCCCACCGACAUUACAUUUAUGUUCACACACUCAUUGCUAGUUGUCGGUGCUCAUACUCUUUCAUUGUACUAUCCAUGCUAGUUUAUUUUCCUUUUUAUGCUUUCUUCUUGUGUGUUUGAUAAACCUUAAGAAAAACCAAAAAAAAUUAGUUGUAGCUUUUAGCUAGUUUACUUUCUUGUUGUAGUAGUAAUAAUUAAAAAGAAAACCCAAAAGGAUUUCAUGUUCUUCUUUUGCUUGUUGGGAGCUUUCCCGUGUAAAUAGUUUUUAUUUCUUUUCUUUGGGGGUCGAUAGGAGAAGACCAUGAUUAAAUUGUUGAAGUGGCCCUUAUAUGCAUUAUUGUUGAUUUAACCAAGAGCCCAUAUUGCCUUGUCUUCUCCUGUUUAUUGAAUGCCUGCAGAUUCCAACUUAGUCCAAUGCACAUGCACUAUUAUUAUUAUUCACAUCGUUCGGUCGUACAAGUGAAAGGCAAUUAUGACGAUAUAUGAUGGACAGAUUGAGAUGAGAGAAGCUGGUAUGAACUCGACCUCUCUUGUUUUUGUAAUUAUAAUUAGUUCAUCGUUCCUGAUUCAGCCUAUUAUGAAUAAACAUGUUUGCAAUGACAAUUAGAGAUUAUAGUUGCUUAUGCCAUGCUUAAUUAGCUAGGAGUUUAUAAUGGUUUACCUUGCGUGCCAACAUGUUAUUAAAAUGAAUGUGAUGUGGUAUGAUAGGGUGGUAUCCUCCUUUGAAUGAUUUAAGUGACUUGACUUGGCACAUGUUCACACAUGUAGUUGAAACAAAUCAACAUAGCCUUCAUGAUAUUUAUGUUCAUGGUGGAUUAUUGCUACCUCUUGAGCACUGCGUUGGUUUUCCCUUGAAGAGGAAAGGGUGAUGCAGUAAAGCAGCUUAGUAUUUCCCUCAGUUUUUGAGAACCAAGGUAUCAAUCCAGUAGGAGGCCACGCACGAGUCCCUCGCACCUACACAAACAAAUAAAUCCUCGCAACCAACGUGAUAAGGGGUUGUCAAUCCCUACACGGUCACUUACGAGAGUGAGAUCUGGUAGAUAUGAUAAGAUAAUAUUUUUGGUAUUUUUAUGAUAAAGAUGCAAAGUAAAAUAGAAAGCAAUAAAAAUAACUAAGUGUCGGAAGAUUAAUAUAAUGGGAAAUAGACCCGGGGGCCAUAGGUUUCACUAGUGGCUUCUCUCAAGAGCAUAAGUAUUACGGUGGGUGAACAAAUUACUGUUGAGCAAUUGACAGAAUUGAGCAUAGUUAUGAGAAUAUCUAGGUAUGAUCAUGUAUAUAGGCAUCACGUCCGAGACAAGUAGACCGACUCCUGCCUGCAUCUACUACUAUUACUCCACACAUUGUGACACCCAAAAUUUUUAAUUGGAUUUUUUCAAACCUUUAUUUUGAUUUGAGGAGGGUAUUUAAAUUUUCUUCUAAAGAACUCUCCCUCUCAAAAAAUUUCUUUUAUGACAAGUAUUUUGUUUGGAUUCACCCAAGACUUGGUUUUUGGUCUUGGAGGUUUUCCCUUCUUAUUUGGACUCAAAACCAAAUGCUUUUCACUUGGGAAAAUUUCUUUUGAAAAAUCUUUUAAAUAGCCCUAUGGCAUUUGGAGUGAUCUUUCCCCUUUUCAAAAAUCCCUCUUGCCAUGACAUGAAUGGAAAUCCCCUCCCAUAAGCCUUUCCCCAUCUUUGGAUCAUGAUAUACUUCAAAUCCAGUAGUUUGAACCUCCCCAUAAUUUCUCUUCCUUUUAUUUCUUAUCACAAAUGAUUUCUGCCUUCUAUUCUAGCUCUUGGAGAUUUACAAAGGAGCUACCCUUUCUACUUUGAGUUUUGCCUCCAAACCAUUUUCCCUAGCUAGUCCUUUGAGCCCUCAACCAGGAUCCAUGAAGAUCCACUGGUCUCCAGUUCAAAUUUUUCAAAUUAUUCUUGCUGCAAGUUUGGACCUUAUUUGCCAAAUUUGAUGAAAUUCAUUUGAAUUCUUCUCCUAAAAAUCUGAGAAAAUUCAGGCAGCCUCUGGGUGCAUUGAGAGGUCACCUCACUAAGUCCCAGCUCCAGAAAAAAAUUUCUUCAUGCCAAAUCAUUUCGUCGAACACCUGCUAGACACUGUUGCUAUCAUGUUCAGUAAAUUCAGAUAAACAGUUUCAGGAACUACUGUCGUUUUCUUCAGAGCCCGACGUCGAUCUCGCCAGUGCCGCGGUGGCGCCUUGCUCCCUGUCCCCUCCUCCUUAUCCCUGCGCCGCACGAUCUCCUGGAGGCUUGCGGGCGUCGGCGACGAGCAGGAGGAGGUGCGCCGCCCCGUGAGCGACGGCAGCGGUGGCUUUGCGGCUGCCAGAGAGAGGCGCAGCGUGGACGGCGCCGCCCAGCGCCGCCCAAGCCACCCGAGGCCGCCGCGUGGCCACCCACUCGCCCGUGCGCGCUGACACCCUCGUCGUGAACUGCUAGGCGCGGAGCGCGCUCUCUGCCGCCGCCGUGCCCGUACGGCCGCCCCGUCGAGGACCGGCGCUAUUACGCCAAGCCCGACCAAGGUUAGCGGGGGAACGGCACCAGUGAACCUCCCUGAUGCUGCCUGGCCACCUAAACCCACUGCCCAACCACUGCCUCGCCGUAAUCGCUCGCCGGAGAUUUCCCGUUCACGGCCACCCCCUCGGAUCGCCUAUAAAUAGAGGCCCCGAGCUCGAACUCGAACCCACACCACCUCUGCACUCCACCAACACCACGCCAAGCCACUGGAAGAGCCCCGAGGGAGCCUUCUUCCCCAACUCCGGCCGCCUCGCCCCGCCACGGGACCCAGCUCGAUUCGCUCCCGUGCGUGCACCUCUACCCCUCAGCUCUUGCCAGUAGCCUUCUAGUGCAUCCACUCUGCUGACCCGCGCUUCAAUUUGGAGUUUGCAGCACCCACCGGAGUUCUCCACCAUCGCCCGAGCCACCGUCCGCCGGAGAAAGUGUCGCCNNNNNNNNNNNNNNNNNNNNNNNNNNNNNNNNNNNNNNNNNNNNNNNNNNNNNNNNNNNNNNNNNNNNNNNNNNNNNNNNNNNNNNNNNNNNNNNNNNNNNNNNNNNNNNNNNNNNNNNNNNNNNNNNNNNNNNNNNNNNNNNNNNNNNNNNNNNNNNNNNNNNNNNNNNNNNNNNNNNNNNNNNNNNNNNNNNNNNNNNNNNNNNNNNNNNNNNNNNNNNNNNNNNNNNNNNNNNNNNNNNNNNNNNNNNNNNNNNNNNNNNNNNNNNNNNNNNNNNNNNNNNNNNNNNNNNNNNNNNNNNNNNNNNNNNNNNNNNNNNNNNNNNNNNNNNNNNNNNNNNNNNNNNNNNNNNNNNNNNNNNNNNNNNNNNNNNNNNNNNNNNNNNNNNNNNNNNNNNNNNNNNNNNNNNNNNNNNNNNNNNNNNNNNNNNNNNNNNNNNNNNNNNNNNNNNNNNNNNNNNNNNNNNNNNNNNNNNNNNNNNNNNNNNGCCUCUCUUAUUUUCCCCUCGAACCGUUUUCUGUUGGCGCCUUCGGGCAAAUAUGUUUUCUCUUUGGGCUGGCGCAUUUCUUUCCGAACCGUUUUCUGUUUUCUCAGUUAAGCCCGUGGAUCUUUUCUGUUUCAUCAUAGAUUAGUCCCUGGACUAAAACCCUUAUAACUUUUUAAUAAAAGAUGAUUUUUGAGUGAUCUUUUUCUGUCAGUCUUGUAUUUUUGUCUAGUUUUUUAUAGUAUUUAUUUGGAAAAAAUUUGGAACAAUUUUUAUGCACGCGUCGAUGUUCACGUUAGUGUACGUUUUCGCUAUACCGUAGGUUCCGGAAGAGGUGACGGAGCCGCGAACUUCGCCGAGCUAGACUCCGACUUCUCCGAACCAGGCAAGCAUGUUUGAACCUUUGAUAUGAUAGGUGUUUUGCAUGUUUGCUUGAAUAGUUGUGCAUGGCAUAUGAGUAUCCGUGAGUAUCUCGUUGCAUGUAAGGCAACUACCCGUGUGUUCCGAAGUUACUGUGAUCUCUGAUGAGAGAUGGCCUAGUCAUGUGGUGACAUGAAAGGCAGUAAGGUGGUAUUGUUGUAGCAUGCCAACCUUACGUCAUCCGAUAAACUCCGACGUUAACGUGGACUGAGUCACGUUAUCGUUCUUCCCUUUCCGUGCUGCCACAUGUUUUCUGCCAAGAAUACGGUUUAGUAAGUUGUUAACCUCUUUCCGUGUACACACCAAAUAGAGGGGCCGGGAUGAGGGUUCCAUGGCCCUGGAUUAAAGCCAGUCAUCCGGUCAGGGGGCAUGGGUGUUUCCGGUUGGGACCGAGAGGGGGGCACCCCUUAGAGCGCGCGUAUAUAAAUUUGAUCCCAUGCUACGCGAGGUUGUAGCCUCCCCGUCUCAAGGUUUUUCUUGAACGUUGUCGAGGUUGAUUCCUGGCUUCGGAAUGUUGAAUGGGUGUGUACUGGUUAGAUGUGUUUCUCCUAAAACACCGUAAAAGGAACUAGUCCUUGUGACUACUGAAAUCCGUUGGCUGUGGUUAAAGUACAAACUCUGCAGAGUCAAAUCCUUCUGAGUCAUCGUAUCCAUGGUCGAGGACCGAGGCCAGUAUAUCCAUAUCUAUGUCAAUCCUCAUGGUAAAUCCCCGGUGAACAAGCUUGAGUGGUAUACCCGUUUGAAUUGUUAUUCCUGUGGAUGGACUAACCUUAUUUUAUCUCGUAUCAGAAUAUUCCCUUGUUGUGAGAUUAAAUUCGUGAGCUACUAAAUUAUCAAGUUAUGAAAUAUAAGCCCUUUAUGUGAUGUCGCUCAGACGUCCGACUGUGGCACUCUUGUUAUUUACUUUUGUAAUAUAAGCCCUUUAUGUGAUGUCGCUCAGACGUCCGACUGUGGCAUUCUUGUCAUUUACUUUCAAUAUAAGCCCUUUAUGCGAUGUCGCUCAGACGUCCGACUGUGGCAUGCACUGUUAUUUAUUCUUCCAUUAUAAGCCCUUUAUGUGGUGUCGCCUUGACGCCCGACUGUGGCAUUGUUAUUCUUUUUGUAUCCUUCGAGGAGUCAUUCAGACACUUGAUUGGCCCUCGGUAUUACUUUGGGAUUUCGGGAGGACUACCGCCUGACUUCUCUUUUAUUUCCCAUGCAUUAUUAUUUCAUUGUCUGAGUGCGCUUGUUAAAUCUGUUCAUAUGCAUCAUGUUUACAUUUGUUAUAUCUUAUGUCCGAACUGUCUUGCGAGUACUUUCAUAGUACUCACAUGGCUUGUUGAUUUGGCCAGAUGUUGACGAAGGCGAUCUCAUGGAUGAAGAGUUUGAUAGUGAGUCCGACGCCUAGAAGAGUCCCAGUCAGUCCCGUGCGAUCCUGGAUAUUGGUCACUUGUAUUAUAUACGCUUCCGCCACCCGCAAUAAGUAUCCUCGAGCCUCACUCCGACGCUCGAAGAGUUGUUAGAUUUCAGGAGUCAUAUCACCCACUUCGCUGUGUUUUUUCCACCACCGCUUUUGUCGUGAGUUAGUAGUUAUGCCACCCUAUCCGCCUUUAUGUGUUAUUGGCGUGUUUGUAAUAAAUUGUUGAGCAGUCUCCACUCAACCUUGUAUUAUAUUCAGUACUCCUGGUAUUUUUCUUCUGUGAUCAAGAUUUUGUCUACCAGUAAGAAGGAUUCUUCUCUACUGGUCCGUAAAGGGGAUCGAUUUCUCAAUAAAUAUUUUUAUUGGAAAACCGGUCGUGACACACAUCGACCGAUAUCCAGCAUGCAUCUAGAGUAUUAAGUUCAUAAGAACAGAGUAACGCUUUAAGCAAGAUGACAUGAUGUAGAGGGAUAAACUCAUGCAAUAUGAUAUAAACCCCACCUUGUUAUCCUCGAUGGCAACAAUACAAUACGUGCCUUGCUGCCCCUACUGUCACUGGGAAAGGACACCUCAAGAUUGAACCCAAAGCUAAGCACUUCUCCCAUUGCAAGAAAGAUCAAUCUAGUAGGCCAAACCAAACUGAUAAUUCGAAGAGACUUGCAAAGAUAACCAAUCAUACAUAAAAGAAUUCAGAGAAGAUUCAAAUAUUGUUCAUAGAUAAACUUGAUCAUAAACCCACAAUUCAUCGGUCUCAACAAACACACCGCAAAAGAAGGUUACAUCGAAUAGAUCUCCACAAGAGAGGGGGAGAACAUUGUAUUGAGAUCCAAAAAGAGAGAAGAAGCCAUCUAGCUAAUAACUAUGGACCCGAAGGUCUGAGGUAAACUACUCACACAUCAUCGGAGAGGCUAUGGUGUUGAUGUAGAAGCCCUCCGUGAUCGACGCCCCCUCCGGCGGAGCUCCGGAAAAGGCCCCAAGAUGGGAUCUCACGGGUACAGAAGGUUGCGGGGGUGGAAUUAGGUUUUUGGCUCCGUAUCUGGUAGUUUGGGGGUACGUAGGUAUAUAUAGGAGGAAGAAGUACGUCGGUGGAGCAACGUGGGGCCCACGAGGGUGGAGGGCGUGCCCUGGGGGGUAGGCGCGCCCCCUUACCUCGUGCCCUCCUGGUUGAUGUCUUGACGUAGGGUCCAAGUCCUCCGGAUCACGUUCGUUCCGAAAAUCACGUUCCCGAAGGUUUCAUUCCGUUUGGACUCUGUUUGAUAUUCUUUUUCUGCGAAACUCUGAAAUAGGCAAAAAAACAGCAAUUCUGGGCUGGGCCUCCGGUUAAUAGGUUAGUCCCAAAAAUAAUAUAAAAGUGUAUAAUAAAGCCCAAUAAUGUCCAAAACAGAAUAUAAUAUAGCAUGGAACAAUCAAAAAUUAUAGAUACGUUGGAGACGUAUCAAGCAUCCCCAAGCUUAAUUCCUGCUCGUCCUCGAGUAGGUAACAGAAUUUUUGAUGUGAAAUGCUACUUGGCAUAAUUUCAAUGUAAUUCUUCUUAAUUGUGGUAUGAAUAUUCAGAUCCGAAAGAUUCAAGAUAAGAGUUCAAUAUUGACAUAAAAAUAAUAAUACUUCAAGCAUACUAACUAAGCAUUUAUGUCCUCUCAAAAUAACAUGGCCAAAGAAAGUUCAUCCCUACAAAAUCAUAUAGUUUAGUCAUGCUCCAUUUUCGUCACACAAGAAUGCUCUCAUCAUGCACAACCCCGAUGAAAAGCCAAGCAAUUGUUUCAUACUUUAGUAAUCUCAAACCUUUUCAACUUCCACGCAAUACAUGAGCGUGAGCCAUGGAUAUAGCACUAUGGGUGGAAUAGAAUAUAAUGAUGGGGGUUAUGUGGAGAAGACAAAAAAGGAGAAAGUCUCACAUCAACGAGGCUAAUCAAUGAGUUAUGGAGAUGCCCAUCGAUUGAUGUUAAUGCAAGGAGUAGGGAUUGCCAUGCAAUGGAUGCACUAGAGCUAUAAAUAUAUGAAAGCUCAACAAAAGAAACUAAGUGGGUGUGCAUCCAACUUGCUUGCUCACGAAGACCUAGGGCACUUGAGGAAGCCCAUUGUUGGAAUAUACAAGCCAAGUUCUAUAAUGAAAAAUUCCCACUAGUAUAUGAAAGUGACAAAACAAGAGACUCUCUAUCAUGAAGAUUAUGGUGCUACUUUGAAGCACAAGUGUGGUAAAAAGGAUAGUAACAUUGUCCCUUCUCUCUUUUUCUCUCAUUUUUUUAUUUGGCCUUCUUAUUUUUUUAUGGCCUUUCUCUUUUUUUUAUUUUUCCUCACUUGGGACAAUGCUCUAAAAAAUGAUGAUCAUCACACUUCUAUUUAUUUACAACUCAAUGAUUACAACUCGAUACUAGAACAAAGUAUGACUCUAUAUGAAUGCCUCCGGCGGUGUACCGGGAUAUGCAAUGAACCAAGAGUGACAUGUAUGAAAGAAUUAUGAAUGGUGGCUUUGCCACAAAUACUAUGUCAACUACAUGAUCAUGCAAAGCAAUAUGACAAUGAUGAAUGUGUCAUGAUAAACGGAACGGUGGAAAGUUGCAUGGCAAUAUAUCUCGGAAUGGCUAUGGAAAUGCCAUAAUAGGUAGGUAUGGUGGCUGUUUUGAGGAAGAUAUAGGGAGGUUUAUGUGUGAAAGAGCGUAUCAUAUCACGGGGUUUGGAUGCACCGGCGAAGUUUGCACCAACUCUCAAUGUGAGAAAGGGCAAUGCACGGUACCGAAGAGGCUAGCAAUGAUGGAAAGGUGAGAGUGCGUAUAAUCCAUGGACUCAACAUUAGUCAUAAAGAACUCACAUACUUAUUGCAAAAAUCUACAAGUCAUCAAAAACCAAGCACUACGCGCAUGCUCCUAGGGGGAUAGAUUGGUAGGAAAAGACCAUCGCUCGUCCCCGACCGCCACUCAUAAGGAGGACAAUCAAAGAACACCUCAUGUUUCAAAUUUGUUACAUAACGUUUACCAUACGUGCAUGCUACGGGACUUGCAAACUUCAACACAAGUAUUUCUCAGAUUCACAACUACUCAACUAGCACAACUUUGAUAUCACUACCUCCAUGUAUCAAAACAAUCAUCAAGCAUCAAACUUCUCUUAGUAUUCAACACACUCAUGAGAAAGUUUUUACUAGUCUUGAAUACCUAGCAUAUUAGGAUUAUUUAAGAAAAUUACCAUGCUGUUUAAGACUCUCAAAAUAAUCUAAGUGAAGCAUGAGAUAAUAAUAGUUUCUAUAAAACAAAACCACCACCGUGCUCUGAAAGAUAUAAGUGAAGUACUAGAGCAAAAACUAUAUAACUCAAAAGAUAUAAGUGAAGCACAUAGAGUAUUCUAACAAUUUCCGAAUCAUGUGUGUCUCUCUCAAAAGGUGUGUACAGCAAAGAUGAUUGUGGUAAACUAAAAAUCAAAGACUCAAAUCAUACAAGACGCUCCAAGCAAAACACAUAUCAUGUGGUGAAUAAAAAUAUAGCUCCAAGUGAAGUUACCGAUGGAAGUAGACGAAAGAGGGGAUGCCUUCCGGGGCAUCCCCAAGCUUUGGCUUUUAGGUGUCCUUAGAUUAUCUUGGGGGUGCCAUGGGCCUCCCCAAGUUAGGCUCUUGCCACUCCUUGUGCCAUAAUCCAUCAAAUCUUUCACCCAAAACUUGAAAACUUCACAACACAAAACUCAGCAGAAAAUCUCGUGAGCUCCGUUGGCGAAAGAAAACAAAAGACCACUUCAAGGCACUGUAAUGAACUCAUUCUUUAUUUAUAUUGGUGUUAAACCUACCGUAUUCCAACUUCUCUAUGGUUUAUAAACUCUUUUACUAGCCAUAGAUUCAUCAAAAUAAGCAAACAACACACGAAAAACAGAAUCUGUCAAAAACAGAACAGUCUGUAGUAAUGUGUAACUAACGCAAACUUCACGAACUCCAAAAAAUCUACCAAAAUAGGAAGACCUGGAAAAUUUGUUUAUUGAUCAGAAGCAAUUGGAAUCAAUAUUUUAUCACGUUUUGGUGAUUUUUAACAAUUAUUUUCGUGAACAGAAAGUUUCUGGAAUUUUCAGCAAGUUCAAAUAACUAUCAUCCAAGAAGAUCCUAUAGGUUAAACUUGGCACAAACACUAAUUAAAACAUAAAAAGACAUCUAACCAGAGGCUAGAUCAAAAAUUUAUUCCUAAACAGAAGCAAAAAGCAAAAAACUAAAAAUAAAAUUGGGUUGCCUCCCAACAAGCGCUAUCAUUUAACGCCCCUAGCUAGGCAUAAUAGCAAGGAUAGAUCUAGGUAUUGCCAUAAUAAUAAGAUAGAUCAUUAAAACUCAUUUCAUACUCUCUAUGUUCGGCAACAAGCUUUCUUUGUGGCAAGCAAAAUUAAUCAAAAGGGCUAAAUUUAAUGGGACAAAAAUCCCCAAGAUCAACCUUAGGAGGUAUAGGUUCCUCCUUCGGCCCUUCAUAUUGCACAACCAAUUCAUCAUUAUAAGCAUUCUUUUGACAGAACUUGGUGAUCCUAUAUUCGAGAGAAUAUCCUAGCUCAUUAUUUCGAAUAGCAAAAUCAUUAUUAAGUUCAGAAAUUCUAUCAACUAGAAUAUUGGUAGGAACCUUUUUUCUAAUGUUUUCAUUAAAACCAACAUAAUCUAGAGAUUGAAAACGCAUUAUUUCCUCUUGAUCAAAUAAGAUAGUUUCUAUGGGAGGACGUCCAGCGUCCACCCUGUAGUGCGCAAAGAUUUCUUUGGCCUCUUUUAUAAUAAAUCUGAACUCAUGAGCCAAAAAGAUAGUAGCGGCUCGCUUAACAGAAGAGUGCUCAAUGUUAGAAAAUUCUAGGAAAAUCCUCUGUAUGCAAGGAUGCAUGUGCAUAAAUUGUCUUUCAAGUUCAACUACAAGCAUGGUGAUAGCGUCCGCAAGACUACUAGUUCUAUGAAGAAUAGAACUACCCAUAGAAGGCAAAGCACCGGCACAAGUAAAGAAAUCUUGGAUAACUCCUUUCCCAAUAAUGUUACCACUAUGCUGGAAUAUCUGGAUUCUCAGGAACACUAAGGUCUUCAGGCAUGAGAGAGGUGGAUUCAAUAAAUGGAGAAGUGCAUUCAUCCAUGAUAUUAGCGUAAUGCAACAUAGAGUGAAAGCUGCCUAUAAGGAUGAUCUCCUUAGAUGGAUCUCAUUUCUGCCACCUUGAGGCCAAUUUUCUGUAAUUUUAACUUGUUUCUUCCCCUACUUCCCUUAGUUUAGUUUGAUUACCUCUUGUAAUCCCCCAUAAUAGCUGUACUUGCUCUCUCUUUAUCAAUAAAGUUUUGAUAUGCUGUGGGGGUUUCCCCUACAGUUCCCAGUCAAAAAAAUAAUGUUACCACUACCAAUUCGGAAUUUUUUUGUAUGUAAGGUAGGGGGUUCUUUAGCAGGAGCAUCAGAAUUUUCCAUGAUAUUAUUAUUAUCCUUAUCGACAAUAAUUUCCCCAAUUUCAGACAUAAUGGCAGAAAGUGCGCGGAGCAAAAAGAGAGAGGGAGGCAAAAAGGGAAAAGAGAGAGAGGGCGAAUAAAACGGCAAGGGUGAAGUGGGGGAGAGGAAAACGAGAGGCAAAUGGCAAAUAAUGUAAUGCGGGAGAUAAGGGUUUGUGAUGGGUACUUGGCGUGUUGACUUUUGCGUAGACUCCCCGGCAACGGCGCCAGAAAUGGCUCGUUGGCGGGAGUCAAAUCUUGACUUGACUUCGCGUAAGCCUCCCCGGCAACGGUGCCAGAAAUCCUUCUUGCUACCUCUUGAGCACUGCGUUGGUUUUCCCUUGAAGAGGAAAGGGUGAUGCAGUAAAGCAGCAUAAGUAUUUCCCUCAGUUUUUGAGAACCAAGGUAUCAAUCCAGUAGGAGGCCACGCAUGAGUCCCUCGCACCUACACAAACAAAUAAAUCCUCGCAACCAACGUGAUAAGGGGUUGUCAAUCCCUACACGGUCACUUACGAGAGUGAGAUCUGAUAGAUAUGAUAAGAUAAUAUUUUUGGUAUUUUUGUGAUAAAGAUGCAAAGUAAAAUAGAAAGCAAUAAAAAUAACUAAGUGUCGGAAGAUUAAUAUAAUGGGAAAUAGACCCGGGGGCCAUAGGUUUCACUAGUGGCUUCUCUCAAGAGCAUAAGUAUUACGGUGGGUGAACAAAUUACUGUUGAGCAAUUGACAGAAUUGAGCAUAGUUAUGAGAAUAUCUAGGUAUGAUCAUGUAUAUAGGCAUCACGUCCAAGACAACUAGACCGACUCCUGCCUGCAUCUACUACUAUUACUCCACACAUCGACCGCUAUCCAGCAUGCAUCUAGAGUAUUAAGUUCAUAAGAACAGAGUAACGCUUUAAGCAGGAUGACAUGAUGUAGAGGGAUAAACUCAUGCAAUAUGAUAUAAACCCCACCUUGUUAUCCUCGAUAGCAACAAUACAAUACGUGCCUUGCUGCCCCUACUGUCACUGGGAAAGGACACCGCAAGAUUGAACCCAAAGCUAAGCACUUCUCCCAUUGCAAGAAAGAUCAAUCUAGUAGGCCAAACCAAACUGAUAAUUCGAAGAGACUUGCAAAGAUAACCAAUCAUACAAAAAAGAAUUCAGAGAAGAUUCAAAUAUUGUUCAUAGAUAAACUUGAUCAUAAACCCACAAUUCAUCGGUCUCAACAAACACACCGCAAAAGAAGGUUACAUCGAAUAGAUCUCCACAAGAGAGGGGGAGAACAUUGUAUUGAGAUCCAAAAAGAGAGAAGAAGUCAUCUAGCUAAUAACUAUGGACCCGAAGGUCUGAGGUAAACUACUCACACAUCAUCGGAGAGGCUAUGGUGUUGAUGUAGAAGCCCUCCGUGAUCGAUGCCCCCUCCGACGGAGCUCCGGAAAAGGCCCCAAGAUGGAAUCUCACGGUACAGAAGGUUGCGGCGGUGGAAUUAGGUUUUUGGCUCUGUAUGUGGUAUUUUGUGGGUACGUAGGUAUAUAUAGGAGGAAGAAGUACGUCGGUGGAGCAACGUGGGGCCCACGAGGGUGGAGGGCGUGCCCUGGGGGGUAGGCGCGCCCCCUUACCUCGUGCCCUCCUGGUUGAUGUCUUGACGUAGGGUCCAAGUCCUCCGGAUCACGUUCGUUCCGAAAAUCACGUUCCCGAAGGUUUCAUUCCGUUUGGACUCUGUUUGAUAUUCUUUUUCUGCGAAACUCUGAAAUAGGCAAAAAAAACAGCAAUUCUGGGCUGGGCCUCCGGUUAAUAGGUUAGUCCCAAAAAUAAUAUAAAAGUGUAUAAUAAAGCCCAAUAAUGUCCAAAACAGAAUAUAAUAUAGCAUGGAACAAUCAAAAAUUAUAGAUGCGUUGGAGACGUAUCAAUUAUAUUCUACUCAUGCUUGCACCCAAUGUUUAUUAAUUUUAAUGCAUGUUCAUGACUAUUGUCGCUCUCUAGAUGGUCGCUUCCCAGUCUUUUGCUAGCCUUCAUUUGUACUAAGCGGGAAUACUGUUUGUGCAUCCAAUCCCUUAAACCCCAAAGUUAUUCCAUAUGAGUCCACUAUACCUUCCUAUAUGCGGUAUCUACCUGCCGUUCCAAGUAAAUUUGUAUGUGCCAAACUCUAAACCUUCAAAUGAAAUUCUGUUUUGUAUGCUCGAAUAGCUCAUGUAUCAACUAGGGUUGUCCGUAUCUUCCAUGCUAGGCAGGUUAUUCUCAAGAGGAGUGGACUCCGAUCCUCACUCACGAGAAAAUGGCUGGUCACCGGGAUGCCCAGUCCCAUGCUUUAUGCAAAUCAAAUCAAAAUAAUUGCAAACAAAACUCCCCCGGGACUGUUGUUAGUUGGAGGCACUCGUUGUUUCGAGCAAGCCAUGGAUUGAUGCUCGUUGGUGGAGGGGGAGUAUAAACUUUACCAUUCUGUUUGGGAACCGCCUAUAAUGUGUGUAGCAUGGAAGAUAUCGCCAUCUCUUGGUUGUUAUGUUGACAAUGAAAGUAUGCCGCUCAAAAUAUUAUUUAUCUCUGCUUUAAAAUCAAGCUCUGGCACCUCUACAAAUCCCUGCUUCCCUUUGUGAAGGGCCUAUCUAUUUACUUUUAUGUUGAGUCAUCACCCUCUUAUUAAAAAGCACCAGCUGGAGAGCACCGCUGUCAUUUGCAUCCAUUACUAUUAAUUUAUAUUGGGUAUGACUAUGACUGGAUCUCUUUUACCAUGAAUUACAAUGUUUAGUCAGUCCUUGAUCUUUAUAGGUGCUCUGCAUUUAUGUUUUGCGGUCUCAGGAAGGGCUAGCGAGAUACCAUCUUGUUAUAUCAUAUCAUGAUUGUUUUGAGAAAGUGUUGUCAUCCGAGAUUUAUUAUUAAUGCUCGCUAGUUGAUUAUGCCAUUGGCAUGAGUAAACAUGAGACCUAAGAGUUAUUGUGAAUGUGGUUAGUCAUAAUCUUUGCUGAAAACUUGAAUGCUGGCUUUACAUAUUUACAACAACAAGAGCAAACAGAGUUUGUAAAAGUUUUUCUUUAUCACUUUCAAUUUAUCAACUGAAUUGCUUGAGGACAAGCAAAGGUUUAAGCUUGGGGGAGUUGAUACGUCUCCGUCGUAUCUACUUUUCCAAACACUUUUGCCUUGUUUUGGACUCUAACUUGCAUGAUUUGAAUGGAACUAACUCGGACUGACGCUGUUUUCAGCAGAAUAGCCAUGGUGUUAUUUAUGUGCAGAAACAAAAGUUCUCGGAAUGACCUGAAACUCCACGGAGAUUAUUUUUGGAAAUAAUAAAAAAUACUGGUGAAAGAAUCAAGGCCAGGGGGCCCACACCCUUGCCACGAGGGUGGGGGCGCGCCUGCCCCCCCUGGGCGCGCCCCCGCCUCGUGGGCCCCCUGGAGCUCCACCGACCUCAACUCGAACUCUAUAUAUUCGUGUUCGGGGAGAAAAAAUCAGAGAGAAAGAUUCAUCACGUUUUACGAUAUGAAGCCACUGCCAACCCCUAAACUCUCUCGGGAGGGCUGAUCUGGAGUCCGUUCGGGGCUCCGGAGAGGGGAAUCCGUCGCCAUCGUCAUCAUCAACCAUCCUCCAUCACCAAUUUCAUGAUGCUCACCGCCGUGUGUUAGUAAUUCCAUCGUAGGCUUGCUGGACGGUGAUGGGUUGGAUGAGAUUUAUCAUGUAAUCGAGUUUGUUUUGUUAGGGUUUGAUCCCUAGUAUCCACUAUGUUCUGAGAUUGAUGUUGCUAUGACUUUGCUAUGCUUAAUGCUUGUCACUAGGGCCCGAGUGCCAUGAUUUCAGAUCUGAACCUAUUAUGUUUUCAUGAAUAUAUGUGAGUUCUUGAUCCUAUCUUGUAAGUCUAUAGUCACCUACUAUGUGUUAUGAUCUGGCAACCCCGAAGUGACAAUAAUCGGGACCACUCCCGGUGAUGACCAUAGUUUGAGGAGUUCAUGUAUUCACUAUGUGUUAAUGCUUUGGUCUGGUACUCUAUUAAAAGGAGGCCUUAAUAUCCCUUAGUUUCCGCUGGGACCCCGCUGCCAUGGGAGGGUAGGACAAAAGAUGUCAUGCAAGUUCUUUUCCAUAAGCACGUAUGACUAUAUUCGGAAUACAUGCCUACAUUACAUUGAUGAAUUGGAGCUAGUUCUGUGUCACCCUAUGUUAUGACUGUUACAUGAUGAACCGCAUCCGGCAUAAUUCUCCAUCACCGAUCCAAUGCCUAUGAGCUUUUCACAUAUUGUUCUUUGCUUAUUUACUUUUCCGUUGCUACUGUUACAAUCACUACAAAACCCAAAAAUAUUACUUUGCUACCGUUACCGUUACUUCCAUACCACUUUGCUACUAAAUACUUUGCUGCAGAUACUAAGUUAUCCAGGUGUGGUUGAAUUGACAACUCAACUGCUAAUACUUGAGAAUAUUCUUUGGCUCCCCUUGUGUCGAAUCAAUAAAUUUUGGUUGAAUACUCUACCCUCGAAAACUAUUGCGAUCCCCUAUACUUGUGGGUUAUCAGUAUGCUGAUGUGAAUGCUCUUUUGGAUGCCCAGCAGCAAUGGGGUGUGGAGUUAACCAAUCAAAAGGAGCAGAAGCAAUAUCUUGAAGUGAAGAUUACUGAGCUAGAAACUGUAGUUGGCAACUUGAAGGCAGAGUUGUCAAAGAAAGAGGAGGAGAAGAAGAAACUACAGGAGAACUAUGACAGUUUGUAUGCUUAUGUGAAUUCUCUCUUGGAUGCCCAGUAGCAGAGGGGUGUGGAGUUAAACAAUCAGAAGGAGCAGAAGGAAUAUGUUGAUGUGAAGAUUGUUGAGCUUGAGACUGUAAUGGGGAACUUGAAGGCAGAGCUGUCAAAGACAGAGGAGGAGGAGAAGAAGAAGAUGCUGCAAAACUAUGAAACUCUGAAGAACCUGACAUGUGCUCAAGCCAAUGUGAUUAGGAACUUGAAGUUCAAUCAUUUGAAGGAGAAGGAGAGGCUGACAGAAGAGAGGCUUAAACUGCAGUAUCACAUUUCUGAGCUUCAAAAGUCUGAGGAAAAGAUAAAGUUGAAGCUUCAGGGUGUGAAAGCCAUCUUAGAUGAGUAGGGUGCCUUCUAGUAUGAUAAUCAUCUAUCAGUUUCUAGAUGAUAAUCUUCUAUCCAGUACUUUAUUAUGAAUUUUUGACCCAAGUACUUCAGUGAUGAAUUUGUGAUCUAUGGUGUUGGAUCCAGCAGUGUUGUAAUCUAGAUGAUAAUCAUCUAUUAAGUACUUUAGUAUCUAUUUCUGAACCUUUAUGUAUGUAUUUUGUGAGAUCAGGUGUUGGAUCCAACCUUGAUGAACAUUUAUGAAUGUGAGUGCACUUUGAUUGUUAUGUGGUGUUUGUGCUUAGUAGAAUCACAUGUACUCAAGCCAAGGUGGUGCAUGUGCUAAGUUAGUAAAUUCUGUCAUCUAGAUUCAUGGAUUAACCUUGAGCCUCAUCUUGUCGACAUAUCGAUGAUUUGACCCUAGGGUUUACCUUGAGCCUCAUCUUGUCGAUAUAUCGAUGAUUUAACCCUAGGGUUUACCUUGAGCCUCAUCUUGUCGAUAUAUCGAUGAUUUGACCCUAGGGUUUACUUGAGCCUCAUCUUGUCGAUAUAUCGAUGAUUUGACCCUAGGGUUUACCUUGAGCCUCAUCUUGUCGACAUAUCGAUGAAAUGACCCUAGAGUUUACCUAGAGCCUCAUCUUGUCGACAUAUCGAUGAAAUGACCCUAGGGUUUACCUUGAGCCUCAUCUUGUCGACAUAUCGAUGAUUUGACCCUAGGGUUUACCUUGAGCCUCAUCUUGUCGACAUAUCGAUGAAAUGACCCUAGAGUUUACCUAGAGCCUCAUCUUGUUGACAUAUCGAUGAAUUGACCCUAGGGCCAUAUUAACAAUCCAACAACAGUGCAUCAUAUAACAAUUACUAGUUUAGCCUAAACUAGUGAACAUUGUAAUGGCCAUAAUAACAAGCCAACUUGACACAAAUAGAGAGGCUUAAGUACAGUGCAUCAUAUAGAUUCAUAGAUUCAUAGAUUACAGUACCAUAUCACAUCAUCAUGAAACUAGAUCCAACAACAUAGCAAUUACUAGUUCAGCCAAAUUACAGUACCAUAAGUUGUUGCCAAAAUAGAUCUUAGCAAUUACUAGUUUAGCUAGAUCACAUCAUCAUCAAGGUUCAACAUCAGUUCCCAGAAGCAUAGAAAUAGUCUUUCAGCCUGCUGGGUUGCUUUCUCUGUCUUGGUGGCAAGAAUGGUGCUGUUGUGGCUGCUGCAGCUAUUGAACCUCUCCUACUUGUUGUAGCUGAAGAAGCUCUCCUGGCAGCAGUUGAGCUGGCUGCCCUUGUUGCUGCACCUGCAGUUGAAGAAGCUGCCCUUGGUCCUGGAGCUGUUGAAGAAGUUACCCUUGGUGCUGGAGUUGUUGAAGAAGCUACCCUUGGUGCUCCCCUUGGUGCUCCACUUGUUGAUCCCCUUGGUGCUCCCCUUGGUGCUCCACUUGUUGAUCCCCUUGGUGCUGUGGGUGCCCUGCUUCCUUGUGUGCUACCCUCCUCUGUGUUGUUAGACUGCAUAUAAGAAUUGUAGCAAGUUAAUACAUUCAAGUGUUAGAAAACAAAAUGAUGUGUAUAUGUGAUGCUUGUACAAACCUGAUGCUUGUUCUUUCUCAAUGCUAAGCCCGGUUUUAGAGUCUGUUUGCAUGAUGUGUAUCUGUGACCUACAAGCUGGCAGUUGUUGCAUGUAAUUGAAGCCAUCAUAGAUGUAUCUUUGGGUGCUGGUGGCUCAAACUGGCUCCUUCUCCUCUUGGUUUGCUUCUUCCUUGGCUUAUCCUUGAACACUGGAGGUUCUAUGUCUCUGCUAUUGGUCUUGGGCCACAGAUCUUGUCCUGGUACAGGGAAUAUGAUGGGGUUGUAUGCUGCCAGAUACAUUGGCUUUUUGAAAAAGUCAUGUACAAAGUCUUCAGGCCUCGAUUUGGCUUUGAUGAUAGCCGAUACUGCAUGAUUGCAUGGGUCAGCAGUCAUGUCCCAUUUCCUGCGCCCACAUGUCCUAUGCUGCAUGUUAACUGAAUAAGUUCUCUCAUUGCUUGUCAGUUGGCAGAUAUUUGGCCCAGCCAUCAAUGCUUGAUAGUUCCUAGAAUUUUUCUUUGCUUCUUCAAGCAACUCAGCAUAUGUUGGGCAUAUAUCCCACUUGGCUACCUCUGUCUUAGUCCUAUUGCCAUUGAACCUAACCAUCAACUUAGUCCUAAUUCCAUCUAUCAUGCUCUUUAUUGGUUUGCCCCUCACAUCUAAUAUCAUCUUGUUAAAGACCUCACUAAUAUUGUUGACAACUAGGUCAGUUUUGCAAUUGAAGUCCAUUGCAAAUCUAGCCCAAGCAGCUCUAGGAACUUUGUUAAGCCAAGCCCAAGCAGCCUUGCACUCAUUUUUAAGAGCAUCCAUUGCAGCAAGAUGGUCAUGUUCAGUAUAAGAGUAACUAGCUUUAUCCAUGUACCUCUUUAAUUCUGACCCCCUAAAACGAGUAGUCUGAAAGUUUUGAUAGAUGUGUCUAAGGCAGAAUCUAUGUGGGCAGUUGGGGAAUACAUUGUUUGCAGUUUUAAGAAGGCCCUGUUUGGAGAAAUCACCAUAAUCACAACUAAGCAAUGUAUAUGACCAACAACUAAUUAAGCAAUUAUGAACUAUGCAAUUGUGAACUAUGCAAUUAUGAACUAAGCAAUUAUGAACUAUGCAAUUAUGAACUAAGCAAUUAGUAAGCAAUGUAUAUUAUAAAAUACAACUAAACAUGGGAAUUACCUUCUGUAUAUCAGAGAUUAUGGUGUAAUAACCAAAUCUCCCUGAUUCUCCACCAAUUGCUAUCUUCACUUCAGAUAGAAACCAAGUCCAACUUUUUGUGUCUUCUUUGUCCACAACUGCAAAAGCAAUGGGAUAUAUGUUAUUAUUCCCAUCCCUUCCUGUGGCAGCCAGGAUUUGUUGGCUAGUAGACAGCUUGAUGAAGCAUCCAUCCACACCUGCAAUGGCACACAACACAAGUCAGAAACAAGGAAUUCAAACAAGGCAAAGUAAACAAAGUAAAGUAAUCACCUAUGAGUGGUCUACAUCCAUUCAGAAAUCCUUCCUUGCAAGCAUUCAAACAGAUGAACAGACCAUGGAACCUUGGAUUUAUGCUUGGAUGCUCCUUUAAGAACUUAGUAGUGACAAUGCACCUACUACCUGGAUUUGUGUCCAAGACAGCCUGCAAGUAAUCCCUGAUCCUGGUAUACUGACCCCUCUGAUCUCCUUGCACCAUCUCAAUUGCUUUGUUCUUAGCCCUGUAGGCCAUAUGAGUGUUGAUCUCAACUCCAUACUUGCUCUUCAGAUUUUGCAUUAUUGUAGUUAUUGAUGUGUUCAAGUCUGUUCUUAUUGCUUCUAACACCUAAUGUGUGACACACUUGGUAGUCACCUUGGUGCUCUCUGCUACAGCUGGACAUGUGUGCAAAAAAAUUGCCUUUCUAAUGCAAAAUGUUCUCUCAUUUGCUAACACAGAAGCUGUAAUGAAAAAAGGGCAAUCUUCAUGUCUGCAAAUAGCUAUGAUUCUGUCAUUGCAGUUCCUAUGAAACUGAUAGUUUCUGUUUUGAGCUAUGUGGAAUGUGAGAAGUGCCCUUCUAAAUUGGUAAACACUUUCAAAACAAAGCUUCUUUACAAACUGCAUCUCUGGGCUCUCUCUAUCCUCAGCAUACCAGAUUCUUGGUUUGGGUUUUUUGGCCCUACUCUUAUUGCCAAGCACAAAAGCUAGGGGUACUGCCCCAUCAUCAUCAUCCUCCUUCAAAUCACCAGGAUUUGGAUCCUCAUCAGAUGAUGGCACCCAAACAUCCUCAAAUUCUUGCUCCAAACUUGCAUGUGAUCUACUAGUUGGCCCCUUUCUUACUUUCAACUUCUUCCUCUUUUCCCCUUGUGGUACCACCUCCUCUUCAAUUUCCUCAUCCUCUCCAUGCUCCUCAUCCUCUCCAUGUUCCUCAUGCACUGCCUCUUCUUCUAGCUCAUAAGGUUCUUCAACAUCAGUGUCACCUUCAAAGUGUAAAAAUGGGUCCUGUCUCUGCCUCCUCAUCUCAGCUACCCUAGCCAUGAAAUCCUCAUCUUGCUCCAAGUCAGAGUCAUCUUCAGUUAGUAAAACAGGAAGUUUUAUUUUAAUUGCCUCCACCCUCUCAACACUCUUCUUAUGCUUCUUAUACCUCUGUAUUUUAUUCCUCCUCUUAAGCUCCAUACUUCUUUCCAACUCCUCUUGCUCCAAAUCAACAUCUCCUGCAUUUCCUUGAUACAUAUCUAUAUCUUUGUGCAUAAUCAGACGUGUGCUCUGCUCUCUGGAGUAAAACUGUAUUGGAUGUGCCUCCUGCUCAUCAACUUGUGCAACUCUCCUUGUUUUUUUGGAUGGUGACCUAUACACCACACCUUCAUCACUGACAUCAUACACAGUCCUCUCUCCAACACUGCCUAUAGGGACCUGCUGCUCACAAACAUGACCUAUGUUUAAAUCUCCAGGUCUGGGCUCACUACCCCUAACUACUGUCAUAUUAACUAUGGUCUGAUCUCUGUUGGCAAUGUGGUCUAGCAUCUCAUCAACCUUGUCAUCAUCACAGAUCUCUUCCAAACCAGCUACUCCCAAGCCAGCAUCCCUAACAAAGUACAUGUAGUCAUCCUCUCCAUAGCCUGCUGUCUCUAUUAGUGCUAUUAGAUUCAGAAAUGUUAUGUCUGAAACACACAUGGUCCUUUCCAAAUUGUCCCUGUCAUGAAAGUGGAGCCCAACUUCCCACACAUCAUCACACAAACUACAAAGCAAAGAAGCUACACAUAAAUUUCUAUGCAUACAUUUCUAAUAAUUAAAAUCAAUAACAAACUGAAGUAUAUACAGUGCACAAAUAAAUAAUUAGCACACAUACAGUUUCAAUGCACUGACUACACUAUAUACAGUGCAUAUUCAGUUUCAAUGCACACAUACAGUUUCAAUUACUAGGUGAAACUGACACAUAUUCAGUUAACUGAAAUCUUUUGAACACUAAAAAAUUCAGUUAAGUUCAUACAGUGAAGCAAAUCCAUUUAACUGCAUACACUACCCUAAUCCAGUUAACUUCAGACGCUGAUAGAAUUCAGUUAACUAUUGACACUAAACAAUAUUCAGUCAACUGAAAACCUUUUGUACACUGAGAAAAUUCAGUUAACUUCAUACACAGAGGCAAAUUCAUCUAACUGAUAGGAUACAUAUCAGAGGUUAGACUACAAACAAUAAUGACCUACAGUUCAUUCAAAUCGAAGCCUAACUAUUGAACUAUGAGAAAUUGAUCCCUAACCCUAACCCUAGAAAUUGAUCCCUAACCCUAGAAUCCACAGUAAAGGAGGGGGGCAACUUACUCAACGCCGCCAAAUCCAGAAGCCCGUUGAUGGCUACCCGUCGGAGUAGCUUGCACAGCACGGGCAAGAGCGCCGGCGGCGCGGUACUCAGCGACGGCGACGGCGCUCUCCUCUUCGGGGCCCGAAUAGGGUUUGAGCUGCCGCACACCUCCUCCACUUCAUUCGAUUCGCCGCCGUGAACCAACCCUCCGCUGCAACCUCCAUCCACUCCCCCGCCGGCGGCAUCCACUCCACCGCCGUCGUCAGGGCUCGCCGUCGCCAUGGAGCACGGGGAGAAAGAGAGACAGAGGAGAGUACAGUGGUGAAAGGGGGAGAAUGAAGUGGAUAAGGGACCCGUGCCGUUUUGACCGAGACGGCGCGUCCGUUGCCACUGUAGCACCAUCAGACGACGUGAGCUCGUGGGCGUUACGCCACGUCCUCAAAAUCGGGCCCCACCUGUCAUAAUAGAGGUUAAAUUGCCCGAACAGACGGUUAGGUGUUUUCUGCAAAUGAUUAGGCGCGAAAUCAGUGUUUUCUGGCACAAAAACGUAGAAGAGUCUUUUCUGCAACCCUAGGCUUCAAUGUGGUGGUUUUCUGCAAUUCACUCAACAAGAUCGGACUAUUAACAUAGCAAAAAGAAAGUUCAUUGUGGCAAAUCAAAGAUGUACUCCCACAACAUCAAAAAAUGCAAGAAAAAUCUUGCAUGGCGGUAACAAUUAAAUUACAUGUGCAACAACUAUGAAUCACCAUGUGUUCAAACAUCACUGGCACAAAAUAAACCUUAAAAAUUGAUGGGUAAAAAAUGCUCAUACAUAAUAUCAUUGUCCACUCGGCUCAACACAGAAUUCCAAGGGAGUCAUGUGUCAACCACUUUCCUAACGGCCUAAACAUCUUGGCUGAGCCAUCGCAAUCAAGAGCUUGAACCAUAUCGGUUGUCGAAGGAAGACUUGGCGGCAGGAAAGGAAGGCAAAUAUUUUCAACAUGCGUUUUGGUGUGAGGGCACUAUGAACAUGUCGAUUAGUCAUAUCUCCUACAUUCCUAACCGCGGCUCGUGCAGAGAUUUUGUUUCUUUGACUCUGUAAGAACUUAGUUGUAGUUUUCUUGUUUUUUAAGAUGUAUUGUACCAUUAGAAGUUUGACAGUAUCAAUUCAGGGCCUCAUUCGAAAAUCUCAGGAAAAAAAACCUCUUGUAUGUGCAUCGUCCAGCAAAGACUACCAUUCUCCUGCGACAAAAAGUUUUGGAGUGAAUUUUGUAUUUCAUUUCAAAAACCGCCUAAAGCACCAUUCUACAAACCUAUACGUUGAUAAUGUGCUACUACCUUCAUUUCUUUUUUUUCUUUUUUUUAAGGGAAGGCCAUCAUGGCAAGCUUUAUUGAAUUAUAGAACACUUACAUCGUCCACGAGCUUACUGGCAAUGACAUCAGGUGGCUCGUUUAACCAACUGAGAUUCGACUUAUUACAAAAGGAGAAGUUAGCUAGCACAUGUGCCGCUUGAUUACAAGAACAAAUACAAUGCUUAAAAAUGACCUUCCCAAUCGACGUACUAAUAUCAACGCAUUCCGCGAAGAGAGCCGCAGCUUCAUCCCACCAUCUUUCUUGGCCAUUGCAGAAGUUAAUUACCUGGAGAGAAUCUGAUUCCGCUUCAAUCUGGUUUAGUCCUAGAGAGUUGGCAAAGAAUAGCCCAUCCCUCAUGGCCAUCGCCUCCAUUGUAAUCGCAUCCGCCGCCAUCGGUACAAAAUUGCAUUGCGCGGCAAUGAAGUUUCCAUGAAUAUCCCUCAUAACAGCCGCAGUUGCCCCACUCCCUUCAUCUGGAAAAAAGGAUGCAUCAACAUUUAGUUUUGUGUAUCCUGGGUCCGGCUUACACCAUUUAGUCUCUGGCAUUACAUGUGAACUUGUCAAUGAAUUCUGGAAAUUUGAAGCAAUCGAUAGAAUGGAUAUGGGCCAUCUCCAAGAAGGUGGCACCGGCUCAUCAUGUGUCAUUCGCCUACGUAUCCACCACAAGUACCAUGAUCCCACCAUUAGUGCUUGUUUGAAGUUGACAUUAGAAUGUACCAUCAGUAGAUCAUCCGGAAGGGUUAAAAGAUGUUCGAAUAUAAUCGAGCCCGAAUCCACUAGUACAACAUCUUCCACCAGUUGCAACAUCCCAAGACGCCUCCACACUUCCUUUGCAUGCACACAUAGAAAUAAAAGAUGCCUAAUAUCCUCAGCACCUUGAUGGCAUAUCGGGCACGCCCCAUUAGAACCAAUGUGUCUGUUUGUCAGGAUUGCUUUUAGCGGAACGAUUCCUCGCAGAACCCUCCACCCAAAAAUCUGAAUUCUACGUGGGACUUGCACUUUCCAAAGUGUAUUCCACACUGCCAAAGGCGCUGAACCACCAUACGUGGGACUUGCACUCUCCAUCAUAUUUGCAUGUGCCCUAUUAGUGUGCAUCCAUUGCAAAUGGUACGCAGUUUUCACUGAAAAAAUUCUGGUGCGAUUAGGUUGCCAGGCAAUGAAAUCCUCAAAUGCGUGUGUGUUGAGCGGGAUCUGAAGUAUUCUUCUAACAUCCACAGGGUAGAAAAGGCUCUGUAAUAGCUGUUCAUCCCACUCCCCGGUCACCGGAUCAAUGAGUUCACAAACUCUUGUAAUAAUUGAUUGGCCUCUCGGUGUAAUUACCUUCAUAUCUGAGCUUGAAGGUAUCCAAGGAUCCCUCCAUAUAUUUACCUCCUCACCAGUACCAAUCCUCCAUAUGUAACCUUUCUUGAAUGUAUCAAGGCCCUUUAAAAUACUUUGCCAUGUAAAUGAUGACCCAUUCUUUGGGGUAGCAUCCAAAAGAGUUCCAUUGGGGUAGUAUUUAGCUUUGAGUACUUUUGCAACCAAGGAAUCUGGAUUAGUGAUGAGCCUCCAACAUUGCUUAGCUAGCAUAGCUAAGUUGAAUGAAUAUAAAUCACGAAAUCCCAUACCUCCCUCAUUUUUUGGAAUACAUAGCUUCCACCACGCCAUCCAAUGCAUUUUCCUGUGCUCUUCAUCAUCACCCCACCAAAAUUGUGCAAUAAUAUCUGUGAUUUCUUUGCAAAUUCCUUUUGGAAGACUAAAACUGACAUGGCAAAAACUAGAAUGGCCUGUGCCACAGACUUUAAUAAAAUCUCUUUACCUCCAAUUGAUAGUUGUUUCUCCAUCCAACCUAUCAAUCUUGCUUUAAUUCUGUCAACGAAAUGCCUGAAACAGUCACUUUUGUCAGCUCCCACAAUUGCUGGCAACCCAAGAUACUUGUUAGAUAAUGCUUCUGUGUCAAUAUGAAGAAUUUGACUAAUUUCUGCUUUUGAAACAACUGAGGUGUUGGGACUGAAGAAAAUGCUAGACUUGGCCAAACUCAUCAUUUAUCCUGAACUUGCACAAUAGGUAUUCAGUACGUUUUGUAAGGAAGUUGCAUUCAUCACAUCUGCUCUCAUGAGAAUUAGAGAAUCGUCAGCAAAUAAAAGGUGUGAAACUGACGGUGCAUUUCUGCACACUCUAAUCCCAUCUAUGCCACCAACUUCUUCAAACGUCAACAUACUGGACAACCCUUCCACACAAAGAAGGAACAAAUAAGGGGAGAGGGGGUCCCCUUGCCGAAUCCCCCUAGUAGGGGUAAAUAUCUCAGUCUCCUGGGAGUUGAAUCUGACCUUAUAUCUAACAGAAGAUACACAGGCCAUUAUCAUGUCUAUCCAACCAGUAUCAAAACCAAGUUUUUCCAUCAUAGCUCUCAAGAAUAUCUACUCAACCCGGUCAUAGGCCUUAUGCAUAUCCAAUUUCACUGCACAUAGCCCCCUGCGACCUUCUCUUGAGUUUUUUAUCUUAUGGACACACUCAUAUGCUAUUAGUACAUUAUCAGUAAUUAAACAUCCCGAAACAAAUGCACUUUGAGUGGGGGAGAUAAUGUCAGGUAGAAUACCUUUCAGUCUAGCAGCCAACAUCUUUGAUAUAAUUUUGUACAACACAUUACAUAGACUGAUAGGUCUAUAUUGUGUAAUUUGUUCAGGUGAGUCUACCUUGGGAAUGAGUACAAUGGACGUAUCAUUCCACUCUGCCGGGAUCUGCCUUGUAUUGAUCGCAAACAACACCUCCUCGGAAAUCUCAUCACCAAUAAUAUGCCAGAACUUCUUAAAAAAUAUAGCAUGGAGACCAUCAGGACCAGGCGCCUUGAGAUCACCUAUACUGUGCACAGCCUUACGUACAUCAUCAUGGGUAUACGGGGCUAAUAACAUUUCAUUCAUUUGCUCAGUAACUUUCGUUUGCACAUUUUGCAGAACAGCAGGGUCAACAUGGUUUACUUCUGAAGCAAAGAGGUUACCGAAAUAAUUCUGGACAUGUAUGUUGAGUGCUGAUGUACCUUCAAUCACAUUCCCCUGGUCAUCAUUUAAUUUUUUUUAUCAAGUUCUUCUUACGCCUCGCCGAAGCAAAUGCUUGGAAGAAACCCCUGUUCCGAUCCCCAUGCUUGAGCCAUCCUGCUCUAGAUCGCUGCAUGACAUGUAUCUCCUCGAGUUCUAGCAGAAACUCGAUUAGCUCAGACAGUUCUUUCCUUUUCGAUUCACUUUCAUCAUUCAUAGGGCCAGACAUAAUUUUCUCGAGCUCUCUCUGUGCUUUUCGAAGUCUCUUUUUGGGCUUCUUCAAAACUCUCUGAUCCCAAUCAUGGAACUGAUCGUGCAUGCGAUUUAGUUUUUCAUAGACCGUAUUUUGUCCCGCAGCCGCGCUUGCCGAGUCCCACACCUCCUGAACGACAUCCGAGAAUGACUGUUCACGCAGCCACCUCGCCUCAAAUUCCUUGCUUGCUGCACCAUUGGCCGCCACUCCCGAGUAACACUCUGUGUCCACACACAAGGGUCUAUGAUCUGAAUGAUUAUAGUUUAAAUUUUGUUAUGCAACAUGAGGAUAAAGAGUGGACCAUGCAUCAUUAACCAAGCCCCUAUCCAGUCGUUCUCUAAUCCCGCCUCGAAACCACGUGAAUUGGUCUCCCACAUAUCCCAUGUCCCUCAACUCGCAGUCCUCAAUGGCUGCCUGAAAGGCGUGCAUAUACUGUUGUGGUCUUGGAUUACCACCUUCUUUCUCAUGUAGGAAUUGUAUUUCAUUCAAAUCCCCAAUCAGAAGCCAUGGUAAUGUAUUAUUAUGAUGCAAUCUUCUCAUUCUCUCCCAUGUUCUAUGCUUGUGUUCCCAACGGAAUUCACCAUACAUGCCGGUUAAUCUCCAUUCAUUAUUCUGUUCAUCCGUCACUCUAACAUCAAUGAACAUAGGAUCAAGUUCCAUGCGCUGCACUUUUAUUUCUUUCCUCCACAAUAACAUCAGUCCACCUUUCCUUCCAUAUUCAGCACAUACCAAUUUCUGAUCCAUUCUCAAUCUCCUCCUCAAACACUCCGUCGGAUAGCUUUCUAAGUGUGUCUCCAACAAAAACAUCACAUCUGGGCUGCAGCUUCGCUGGACAUCCAACAAAGCACGAACCACCGGGGACCAAGCCCCCGGCAGUUCCAACAUAACAGCUUCAUUGCUGCACUAGAGAGCCAACUUCAAAGAGAACCGAUCGCUGUCGAACAACGCCGAAACAGAAAACCGAUCACUGCACCAGGCAGCGCCGAGACAAAAAGCUUGAACAAAUCCAAAAGUUGUCUUCGGAUCUGAUCAACAACCAAGUUACCUAAACACUAGCAGGGAAGCUAUACACCAACGCAAUGGAUAAAUUCCUCAUGGCAUGCAAGCACUAGAUAGACGAUAAGAUCGAGUCAUGAAGUCAGCGCCAUCGCCGGACUUGUUGCCGCACAAAAGCAAGGCCGAAACUCUAGCUGAGCACACUAGACCAGCAACAGCACCUCCGGUACCGUCCUGGGAAAGAGACGCCGGCAGCCGCGCCCCGGUACCGUCCUGGGAAAGAGACGCCGGCAGCCGCGCCGCCGCCACGGAGGCGGCCUGCGGCGAGGCUACUACCUCCAUUUCUAAAUAUAGGUCUUUUUAGAGAUUUUUCUAGAAACUACAUACAGAUGUAUAUAAACAUAUUUUAGAUUGUAGAUAUCCUCAUUUGCUCCAUACAAGUCCAUAUUGAAAUCUCUAAAUGGGCAUAUACUUAGGAACGGAGGCAGUACUUUGGAAAUCCAAAGAGAUGCGGUUUUGCUUGAAAAUGUUGUUCUCAAAUGGUUUAUCCUCAGGUGUAAGUUUUAAACUAUUGCUAUUGGGAUGUUUUUACAACAGUUUAUCCCAGUUGAAAACCACAUGUUUACAGUCGAUUCUGAAAACUGAUGUGCCACCAUACAGUCAGACGCCCGCAAAAAAAGAACAUUCUAGAUUGUGGCCAUAUACAAUGUCAGACAGUUUCAGUAAGGUGCUUGAAAUGACAGUUGGAUUACAAAAAGGAUAUUUGAAUGGAAAUCAAUAGUGAAGAAUUUCUCAACAACACAGUAGACUGUAAGGCUAACUAGAUUGUUACAGAACAGCUCUACGCACCAUUGAAGUCCCUUCCGUUUCUGCAUUUGCAGAAGAAUGGCGACAUACAUUUGUACAACCAGGGCCUGUUCCAUCUCUUCUUUUGCAAAG
rnacentral:lncRNA from 1 species